UUUGUAAACUACCCCUCUUCCUAUUUAGGGAGUUUACGCGAAAAAUGGCUUGAUGAACCGUUCGCCACGCACCGGCCACAUUCACUUGCUUAUCGUAGAGGCUGUAAGUACACAGUGCCCCACAAGUAGGCUGCUUUUUCCGGAACGCAGUCCGAGAUAACCGUAACCGUGUAUAUAUAGAAAUAUAUCUUCGAUGCUGUCAUUUCGAAAUGUCCGCUUCAACCGCUGUUUCACCUCCCAGGAUGCUUUAUUCAGAACGCAGUCCGAGAUAACCGUAAUCGUGUAUAUAUAGAAAUAUAUCUUCGAUUCUGUCAUUUCGAAAUGUACGCUUCAACCGCUGUUUCACCUCCCAAAGAGCAAAGUUGGCUUGAUGAUCGCAAAUGAGGAAGCGGGAGCAAGAAAACCAAUAAUCUCCUUCUUGUCCUUCUACUUAAGGUUAAGGGGCAAAGAGAAGCGCUUUUGCUACUGAGAAAGCGAACGGUCAGCGCGAAGGUUCAAGACUUAGCCGAGCGUUAGCGAAGCUAGAUUCUCAUAGCGAGGCGCUUCGAGUUAGCGAAGCGCUGUAGUAGCGCCGAAGCCCUAUGUGCUAUAAUGCUGAGCCAAGGACGCUCCGCAUUAGCAAAGCUAGAUUCUCACAGCGAGGCGCUGUAGUAGCGCCGAAGACCUAUGUGCUAUAAUGCGGAGCCAAGGACGCUCCGCCUUCUCAAUAGAAGCAGUGAACUGAGUUCUGAACGAUUUAGCUCCUUGGUAAUGGCUUAAUCUAUAAAUAGAAAGCCCUAUGAUAGGAAACUACCACGUAGGUUUGGAGAGAUAUGGGACCGGUUAUAUAAUAGGGGAGAUGCAAGAUUUCUCUUUCAAUAGCCGGCCAAAUGACUACAGGAUCAUCGGUCUACUAUACCUCAAUUCACCAUUUCGAACCUUAUACAGAAGGUUUUUCCGUACCAGCUUCUUCUACCUAUACCGCAGUUGAAGCACCUAAAGGAGAAUUUGGUGUCUUUCUGGUCACUAAUGGAAGCAAUCGUCCCUACCGUCGUAUAAUAAUAGCACAUGGCUUUGCCCAUUCACAAGGACUCGAUUCUAUGUCCAAACAUCACACGCCAGCAGAUGUGGUCACCAUCAUAGGUACUCAAGAUAUUGUGUCUGGAGAGGGGGAUAGAUAGGACUACUAGUUGCUCGAUCAGGACCCUAGCUUUAUUGCGAGCCAAAAGCCCAAUUUAUACGCCCCCUUCCUUUAUAUAAGAGGAUUCUAUCCAAUUAUCAGCCCCGAUGCGGAAAGGAGUAAAGAAAGAAAAGUUGAAGACGCUUAACAGUAAGAGAGAACCCCCUCAUCUCGUGGAUAGGAACAUCUAUGUAGAUGGGAUUGGAUUCAUAGUGCCACUUAGGGGUAGGUAUAAACCUUCAUUCAUCUUCUUCGAUCUUCCUUGGAAUAUCCAUCAUCUUGGUCUCGACCUUGUUGAGCUCUCCCUGAUCGAAAGUUCCUAUUUUGCUGCCUCUUCGAUCGUCUCCGACUCCCUAAAAAAUAAGAGUACUUGGUGACCUAGAUGGUCAGGGUCUUUCCUUCUCCCUAAUCAAAAGUUCCUAUGUUGAUGCCUCUUCGAUCGUCUCCGACUCCGUAAAAAAUAAGAGUACUUGGUGACCUAGAUGGUCAGGGUCUUUCCUUUCCUUAACUGAGCCUUAUGUUCCUUCAACAUUCCUUUUCAUCUUGCCUUGUCUUGGGCACCGCAGUGGACUGAUUAUCCGAUACAUAAUAUCUACUCUAAAGAUUAAAAGGAUAGAGGGUCUCCCUUCCAUAGAUUCGAUUGGGAUUGAUUCUCAGGAUUGAGCCGUUAUCAGAGGCGUGCCUACCGACCCCUGUCAAAGUCUUCGGCUUGCAUGACGUCUCAUUCCAUUUUGCUCCAGCUAUGAAAGAAAAGAAUGGGCGCAAUCCUUUAUUCUCUUCUACCACUCUUUGUUUACUUCUGCCUUCCUGAACUCCUACACUGGAGGAGUCAGAUCUUUGAGUAAGCUCCUUUCGAUAGACAAUCUACUCAAGAGUUUAGGCCCCUAAUUCAGGUCUAUGUCUGGGCUGCUGCCGUACUCAAAGGCGAGAGGCUCCAAAAGCGGAUGCGAUCGGCCUCAAAGGAGAGGGGAAGCAACUUGAAAUUCUAGGCAAAGUGCUUUUUUUGUAUGUAGGCCUUCGUAUAGGACAUGAUUUUCAUUCCUCCCACCAAAGCUAGAAAAUAAAGGAGCUUUCUCUUUUUUACAUCCUUCUUUUUAUUUUAAAGGCAUAUAGUGCGUUCUCGCUUUCAGGGAAUUCAAGUCAAAAUCUAGUACAAUGAGGAAACGAAAGGCUAGCUACCAGGUACGAUACAUCGUAUGAUUAUAAUAAAUCAUAAAGCAGUGGGGAGCAUGCCAAUCCCAUUAGAUAUCAUUUGAGCUUCCCCUUUCCUAAGAUCCUGGACGUGGUACUGACGCAUGAACUUGGUUACUGGUUUGACCGCUUUGUUGGCAAGUCAAGUAAGGAAAGGUCUGUUCAUUUGUGCAGAAAUAUGUUUUCGGCCUAUCUAUCGAUUGAACCAGGGGCUGGGCUUUUGUUGACAGACAUAAGAAGUGGUUUUAAGAAUAGGGGAAUGGGUUGAAUAAACUCCCACGGGGUCAGAAAAAUAACAGACGAAGCUUUACUUAGAUAGGGCUUUGAUUGUGAAUUUUUUUUUGUUAAUGAUUGGAAAGGAGGGCGCCUGGGUAUGUUAUAGAAAGGGAAGGCAGAAGCAUCGAAUGCCGAAGAGAGGCAGCUCGGCAGGGAUGGAAUGGGAAAUCGUCAAGGAUGACUUCUUUGUUGGCGGAACGAAGGGCUAAAUAGCAAGAGUGAUUCUCUGAGCCGUUGUGGAUUUCCAACACCUCGGGAACCUAGUCGAGAUAGAUGAAAACACCUUUUUCCCCUGUUCCUUACCAGUAGGGCAAUAUUCUCUUAUGGCCUUCACCCCCCGCCCGUAAAUAGAGAACCUAGCCCCUUUCUAUCCAUUCAUUUCUGCAAGCAGGGAGGAUCCAGAGCGAUGCCCCCUCAUAUUCAGGGGUUUUCCUCGCCCAACAAGCACCAAACCUUCCUUUUGCUCUUCCUUCAGUUUGCCUCCACGAACGCGCCACUUAGGAGCCCUACUCAUAUUCCAAAGGCGCUACUUCAAUUCAACCGCAAGACCCCCCUUCUAUUGCAUAACUUAAAAAAGCUAUAAACAAAGUACCAAAGUGGUUGCGGGUUUGAUACACUUUGGUUACUGGCGACGGCUUCCAAAGGCGACAAGCUUUCCAUACUAGUUGUUACCUUACGCUGCCAUUUUUCCAAUAUUAUUGAAUAGCAUGGCCGGGGACUAAGAUAACUCAAGUGGGAGAGCCGUGUUAUGGGUGACCUUAUUGCACGGUUCAGAGAGCAGUUGUGUAUGUGAUGCAAGUUAACGUCGACGAAAAAGCUAUCGUAAAGUUUUGUUCUUCGUUCCGUCGUCGACCCUAUCUAUGUUUCUAUGAUGGCCCAAGAACAGGCUCAUUCUUCACCCGUAGAGAGACUUUUAAAUUGCGAGUUACCAUUAGGAGCUCAAUAUAUACGAGUGUUAUUCCGUGAAAUAACUCGAAUUUCAAAUCAUUCACUUGCUUCACCUACUCAUGCUAUGGAUGUAGGAGCAUCAACUCCGUUCCUGUGGGCUUUUGAGGAGCGGGAGAAAUUGUUGGAACUCUAUGAAAGAGUCUCGGGAGCCAGGAUGCAUGCCUGAUCGAAAGUUCCCAUUUUGCUGCCUCUUUGAUCGUCUCCUACUCCCUAAAAAAUAAGAGUACUUGGUGACCUAGAUGGUCAGGGUCUUUCCUUACCUUAGCUAAGCCUUAUGUCCCUUCAACAUUUCUAUUCAUCUUGCCUUGUCUUGGGCACCGCAGUGGACUGAUUAUCCUAUAUAUAAUAUCUACUCUAAAGAAUAAGAGGAUAGAGGGUCUCCCUUCUAUAGAUUCGAUUGGGAUUGAUUCUCAGGAUCGAGCCCUUAUCAGAGGCGUGCCUACCGACACCUGUCAAAGUCUUCGGCUUGCACGACAUCUCCUUCCAUUUGCUCCCGCUAUGAUAGAAAAGAAUGGGUGCAGCACUUUAUUCUCUUCUACCACUCUUUGUUUACUUUUGGCCUUCCCGAACUCCUACACGGGCGGAGUCAGAUCUUGUAGUAAGCUCCUUUACAUAGGCAAUCUACUCAAGAGGUUAGGCCCCUAAUUCGGUCUGUGUCUGGGCUGUUGCCGUACUCAAAAGCGAGGGGCCCCAAAAGAGGAUGCGAUCGGACUCAGAGGAGAGGGGAGGCAACUUGGGAUUCUAGGCAAAGUGUUUUUUUUGUAAAUAGGACUUCGUAUAGGAUAGGAUUUUUAUUUCUCCCACCAAAGCUAGAAAAGAAAGGAGCUCUCUCUUUUUUCCGUCCUUCUUUUUAUUUUAAAGGCAUAUAGUUCUUUCUCGCAUUCAGAGGGAAUUCAAGUCAAAAUCUAGUACAAGGAGGAAGCGAAAGGCUAGCUACCAGGUACGAUACAGAGUAUGACUAUAAUAAAUCAUAGAGCAGUGGGGAGCAUGCCCAUCCCAUUAGAUAUCAUUUGAGCUUCCCCUCUCCUAAGAUCCUGGACGUGGUACUGACGCAUGAACUUGGUUACUGGUUUGACCGCUUUGUUGGCAAGCCAAGUAAGGAAAGAUCUGUUCAUUUGUACGGAAAUAUAUUUUCGGCCUAUCUAUCAAUUGAAUCAGGGGCUGGGCUUGACUUAGAUUCUAGGUGGGGAAGACCGCUUGAUUCUGCCGGGGAAUUGCUACUUUCAUCUUUCGUAGAUGAAACGGCCUAUCUAUCGAUUUAACCAGGGGCUACGCUCUUGUUGACAGACAUAAGGAGUGCGAUUAAGAAUAGGGGAAUAGAAGCACCCUAUAAAACACUUUGUAAAUACAUAAGAAGCACCCUAUUAAACAUGCAAGAUCUCUUAGCAAGCCCUAGUUGGCAUAUCAGGUGCCAUUGAACACAGUCUAGGGAUAGCAUCUAUCUAUAGUGAUAGUGAUCCAUUGCCUUGACUUGAGUCUCCACCACAUCUAUUUCCNNNNNNNNNNNNNNNNNNNNNNNNNNNNNNNNNNNNNNNNNNNNNNNNNNNNNNNNNNNNNNNNNNNNNNNNNNNNNNNNNNNNNNNNNNNNNNNNNNNCUUUUGCAGCUAGGAGACAUUGUUGUUAUUGUUCACUUGUAGCGGAUGGUUAGGCUAGGCCGAUUAGAACCUCUGCGCAGUUCUCGAUUCUGAUUGACCCUGGGAGGAUCGGUAUUGCUGGGGGAGAUUGUUCUUCCUCAGCUGGCUUGUUAACCAUGGUCUCUUGAAGGUUUCAUUCUUUUACCAGCUCUCCCAGCCAACAACCUGCUAACCCUAAGCUUGCAAGCACCUUGGUCACAUCUAAGUCCCUAUUCUAUUGUUCUAUUUGGGAUGGAAAGAAAAAGAUCUGCCUUUUUCGGGAAGAAUCGCUCGAAAGCACGGGAUGGGGCUUCCCUUCCUUUACGUCAUCCACCACCCUGUCCUAUCCACUCUCCCCAAAUCUCUACUCGUAAUUUGAAGAAGAACGAUAACGAAAUCCAAUUAGAGAUAAGCUGCCCAUGAGCAUCAUGGCAUAGGUAAAAGGGAACGAGGAGGCAAGCCCCCUCUCCCCACCUUGUUCUCUUUUUCUCCUUGAGUUGGAUGAAUCGAGGGUUCCAAACAUUCCAAAAGUGAUAGGUAUGUGUUGUUUCUUGGCACUCUCUUAGACUGUCUAUCCCUUUGUACCUAGGUAUUAAAGCCAGAAAGAAAGUAGGUUCUUUGAUAUGGUUCAGUAAAUAGGAAUCCUAGUAAUACAGUAAACAUUGGAAGAACAUAGGAAUAUGGGUCCAUAUAGGAAUGAAAAAAGGGCAUGAUAGGCUAGUUUGAUUCCAAGCCAAGUAGCAGGGCAUGAUCAGUCUUAUCGGGCGGGGAAUUGCACUCGCUAAUUGAGCUUCCUACGAUCGCACCCUAGGAGAGUGCAAAUGGCAAGAUUAAUGGUCUGGUUCCACUUAGUAGCCCAAAUCCGCCCCUUUAACACGCAAGUACGCUUUAGCUACUAAGCUUCGAAACAACCCAUAGGCUUACUUCGAAGUAGGAGCUUGAACUCAAGUAUUAGAAUGAGUCUUAUUAGGUUUUCCCUGGGGGAAGGCUCCCCCCAACCCCCGUGAGUUCCCUCCUGCCUUGCCUUGAACUAGAACUUGGAAACCAGGACACAUAUCUAUAAGAGAGUAGCUGCCAAAACAAGCUUCCUAAGGUCGCACCAAAGAUAUGAAGGAAUCGCUUGAGAACUAACUGCAUACCUGAAGUUAGCUUGUGUGCGCAUAGCGUUAUCUUAUCUUUGAAUACUUCCCUUAGGCGGCUAGAAAGAUGUUAUUUGAGUGGUCCGUUCUAGUGACAACAUUUCAACUCUAUUGUAUUUAUGUAGGAGCCUUGUUUUUGCUUUGUUUGCCGGAUUGGUACGCUUUCUUUUCUAAAAAACCUUUUUCUCAUAGGUAGUUACAUUUCAGGCCAUUUAUGAUCGUUUAAAGGUCCGUAUAUUAUAAAGUAUAAAGAAAGUCAAGAUUGUUCUUGCGAAGAAAAGCCUACUUACUUGCUCUUGCUGCUUUUAAUUUAAGAUAAAGUCCUUCUAGCUUCUUACUCUUUCACCUUUCAAAGAAGUCGAAAUAGAAACGGGUAGGAAAGAUCCUGUGUACCUUGUUCAAGUUGCGGAUCUCCUUCAUUAGCUUUAAGUUCAUUGUUGUUCUUCUGGUUCUCCUUUAAAAGAGGUUGUGGGGGAAAAGCCCCAGCCCCCCUACAUGCAUUAAGCGACGACGGCUCAAACAAAGACCAUUUCUCAUAAGAGAAUAGAAAAUCGCAAAAAAGAUUCGAUCAAAAGUGACUAGAAAAGAGGCGGUCGAGAAGGAAUAAGUGGAAACUAUGUUGAUCGAGUGCAAUUUCUAAAUUAGGAAAGAUUAGACAGAAUCCUACCAAUCUAAAUCAAAGUUUCUAACAGUGAAAGGCUGCCCCUGUCGGCGGGUUGCUUAGGUCCAUGUAGUCCAAAUCUCCGCUUAGGAAAGAAGUCCAAGUUUACUUUUUGCGAAAGGGAAAAUGGCUUUCUGUUAGAGAGUGAUCGAGAUAAAUUUUCAGUUGGGAGCCAUUCUUUUGCAGCUAGGAGACCCGAAAGGGAAAAUGGUUUCUGUUAGAGAGUGAUCGAGAUGAAUUUUCAGUUGGGAGCCAUUCUUUUGCAGCUAGGAGACAUUGUUGUUAUGUUUUGCAGUUAUGAGCCAUUGUUGUGUGGUCCCUUUCGAGCGGUUCCUUCUUUUCUCUUUUCGAUUAUUUAAUGGCGACAACUCUUUUCACCAAGGAAUUGGGGCUUAGAGCUAUGAGCAAUAACACAUACGCAAUAAGGAAGAAUGCCACAAUGGACAGGUACGCUAAGGAAGGGGAGUCGCUUGCUUGUUUGGUGUGUUUGGAACCGGGUUGCUUAAAGCUACCCUUUCUUGAAGAAAGAGAACCUGGGCCCAGGUCUUGGUGUAUUUUGACAUGAUUCUCAAUACGCUAUCUAAACUAGGAAAGUCAGUAAGGAAAGGUGGGACAAAGAAAGCUCUACUUCGGGUAGCUGGGUGCAUCAACCUCUUUCUUUUGUGUAUUUUGACAUAAUUCUUAAUACGCUAUCUAAACUAGGAAAGCCAGUAAUGAAAGGUGGAACAAAAAAAGCUCUACUUCAGGUAGCUGGGUGUAUCAACCUCUUUCUUUCGCAGGAGAGGGGACAAUACUUAAGGAGCUUGGGCUACUCAACCAAUAGGAAUAGGGGCUUGUUUCCACAACUGAAAGAGAAUCUGAAAUAGGAUCGGAAACAGAAUAAGAUUGAGGAGCGGGGUAAAACCAUUCUCAGAAGGAGCACGGUUAGCGGUCAGUAAGAAACUCCUCAAUCAAGAUGAAUGAGACCUUUCAUGGAAGUCUUAGUUGGACUCUACACCGCUACGCACCUUACGUCGAUCUAGAUGAUAACAAGGCCUUUCUUCCUCAUGAAGAAGGAGUAGAGACCUAGCUUUCAUCUGUCUGUUAAAAUGUAAUGCUAUACCUUUAGUUGGACUCUACACAGCUACGCACCAUACGUCGAUCUAGAUGAUAACAAGGUCUUUCUUCCUCGUGAAAAAGGAGUAGAGACUUAGCUUUCAUCUGUCUGUUAAAAUAUAUGCUAUACCUUUUGUCCUUGAGAAUCGGCUGGGUAUAGUGGGAAAGAGUUUGACGAUCUAGUUACAUAUCACAUAAGGCUGGUACUCCCGAUAUUGUCUUGGGAAUUUUAAGUAUAUAUAGUAGUGUACUGGAUUCCAUCUACAUAAGUAGAAGCAUUCAAGAAUCACUUGACAGUUCUUAUUUCAAUUUUCCGACUCUCAUCUUGUUAACUGACUUAACCGCAAUACUUAUCCAAAGACAGGACAAGUUGAAAGAGCUUCGGUAGUUAAACUUUCUGUCUCGCGUAAUAAAGAGAGUUUACAGUGCCAUACAAAGAACAUUAGAUAAGGGGAUUCCUCCCAUUGACUGAAGUUCAGAGUCAACCUUCCAAACAAGGCAAUCUUCUGAUAGAGGGGAAGAGGCAGAGGACAACCACUUCUGUGGCACAAGAUGCGCUGGUAUUGCAAAGGCAGGAAUGAGUUCACAACGUUCGAAUAAGCUACUCGACCGACUAAAGCUAAAAGGAGAAAGGGAGAUGACUCUAGUUGUUGAGUACCCUGAGGAAGGUACCAGAUCGACUUCUAGUUGUAGCGGAUCUUACUUACAUCGGUUCUAGCGCUUUCUCUUGAUUCUAUUUUUGAAAGAUCUUAGUUGAAGCGGAUCUUACUUACAUCGGUUCUAGCGCUUUCUCUUGAUUCUAUUUUUGAAAGAUCUUUCGUUGCUAUGAGUAAUGCCCGGUUUAACCAAAAUCAUCUCGUUAGCUUUUAGAGUCAUCCCGGGAUCUUCUGCAUACCAUGUGCUCCAAACUUGAACUCAACUUCCUAUUUUCACCAAGAUCCGCUUCUCGCUCAAGAAACUGGCGAAAGUCCUUUCCCUUUGCUGCAGCUUUAACAGUCCCACUCCUCCUAAUACCAUACUGGGCUGCAUUGCCGUACCUGCAUACCUUAACCCCGAUGUCCUUUCUUAUGGUUCCCCCAAGCUACUUUAUUAAAGCGGACUUUUGCUCAUCGUUUGCGUCUUUAGUCGAAAGCUAUUUCUUUUAUGACUCCUUCUCUAACUUCUUGAAGAAUUUCUUUUUCAUUCAAUAGCGCCUCUCCAAUAAGAGAAGGAGCUUUCUUCACCCCUACGUAAGGCAGGACCUUCUUCAAGAGUGCCCUUUCCCCAGCCUCCAAUCGUCUUAGAAGAGAAGACUAAGCUCAGACGAAUUGCAGUCCGCCCCGGCCCCUCCUUGGUGACUUUGGUCAGGAAAGGGAAUAGGGCAAUAAAUAGAGCUUCGGCUCAAAUUUAGUCCUUCUGUAGACGGAACAUUAGACUUCUGGAUAGGCUUGAGAAAGCCUAGACCAAAGGUGCCUAAUAGCCUAGCUAGACUCAUCGGGUAGGGAAUCCCAUCCUAACCGAAGCCAGUUAGCAAGCCCAAGUCCAUGCAAGAAGGCCCACUGGAUCUAUCCAAAUUCAAAGCCCAUCAAAGACUCUCCUACAUGAAAGGAUCUGAGUCCAUCCAAAUGAUAUUAAGCAAAAUCCUAUUCUGGAAAGAAUGGCAAAGUAAGGGAUUUAAGUCUGCUCAGAGAUUUCAUAUCUCUCCCACGUGUGAUUCAUCCUAACAACUAUCGAUUAGGUUAAAAAAGUGCCCUACACAUGCAAAAAACUAAUUAAAAGGGCAAAAGAGACGAAGGCCAAAGCAUUGACAUAAGACGGGGGCAAAGAGAUAUUCGCCUUUGACUUCUUCUCCGCCUACUGACUGCUACUCGGCUAGAUGCUCCUAUUUCUUAUUCGUAGAUCGUAGAUUAAGAUGUUAUUAGGUACGGAAAGUCAUUCCUUUCAUUCUUUCAUGAGAAUAGAUCCCCAAUAGCUCGCAGAUGAGGAAUUCUUCCGCUAAGACCCUUAGGCAAGCUAAUAGGUCUUGCUUUGACAAAAAAUCCCUCCUCACUCUUCUAUUUAUAAAUUUUUGAGAUAAGAAGCAUUCAAUUCCAUGUCUUAUGCAUGAUUAGGGUUAAGGGAACCAUUGCAGGAAGAUAGUAGGCGGGGGAAAGCUAGCUGAAGAUGCAUAGAACGCCUUGUAAGGGAGAAGCCAAUUUGCCACUUUAAGAAAGUAUUUUCGAACUAAUGGCACAUCUUCUACUUCAACAAGGCAGGUGCAAAAGGAAAAGGAGUAAGGGCUUAGGAAGGUAGCACAGUGGAAGCAACAAUCCUUAUUUCGCAUAGCCCUUUAUUGGGUAAGAAGUGAAUUAGGAUAGGCGGGUUGACAUUCAAUUAGAAUAACCGCUGUUGUCUCUUUCCUGCUCUCCUCUGCUACAGAAUCCGGUCUUAGUUGAAUAACCCUUGCUAUUGAAUCCGAUGCUCUAGAGGAAGGCAAUGAGAUUUUUGAUGCAUCGAAUGCCAUGCCAUGGUUGGCUCUUGGGGAAGGAAGGAGAGUGAUUGGCAUGAAGUAGGGCAGAAAGAGGGGAUUCAGGUUCUCUUUUAAAAGGAUUGGAUUUGCUGCUUCCCUUCUGCACCUUGAUCUCUCUAGUUCUAUUUUGACUAAUCCGAAUUUGUGUACUGAGUAAAAGCUAAAUGUCUUCUCUCAAUUCUUGGCGGAGGGAAGCCCCAUGACCGACCGAACCGAGGAUGGGGUAGAUAGAUUUAUUGAAUGCUCUCGGGUAUUUAUUUAGGUAGUAAAAUAUUAUGUUUCAAAAGGAUCUUUCUUGGUAUUAAAGUGUUCAAUCUGUGAGGAAGUAGCCCAUUCUUCAUCUACGCAAAGAUGAAUUAGUGCUUAUUCGACAGGUCAUACCCUGGCUUAUUAGGAUAGGACCUUCUCUUAUCCCGGAUGACUUGAGCUUGUCUUGGCUCUCUUCUUCGACAAAAAAGACUUUGCUUAGAUGGUUUGGCACGCUUAGCUUUCGAUCGAGAAAGACGGGAAUUUGUGAAAGCGGGCUUAUUGCCCCAUGUCUUACCUAUAAAAAAAAGGCAGGAACUUAUUAGCACAGAUGAUUUGCUUGCAUACCUUCUCCGAGAUAUUGUAAGGGGGUUCAGAUACGGGUUGGCAUUAAAGGAAGCGCUUUGGGCACACACCUAAACAAUCGUGUACUUAGGAGCCCCGAGACUUCCUUAUAGAUACAGACUUUCCGUAUUGCCAAGGGAGGAAUACACUUUACAAAGGAUCUACUUAACUAGCAAAUGAGCAUUUCAUACUUUCCCACGCUACUUCCCAGUCCAAUAGAGGUCUUUCCAGUAAAAGGAGGUCGUGUACCACAGUUCGAGAUAAAAAGAAGAAAGGGGCUGCCAUAGAAAGAGAGGGCACAUGAGAAGCAAGAUACGACAUUCGUUAGAACAAAAGAGAGCAACAAAAAUCAAGUUAAGUAAAGAUCUGGUCGAUUCCAUUCGUCAGUCACUAAGGGAAAUGACUCUCGAUUGAGAAAAAACAUGCCACCUUUUUUCUAUCCAUUUCGCGGAUUAGGUUCCGAGCGGAAGAUACCAAAAGAAAGGGAGCGCGCUGUAGGACACUAGCUAGCAUUUACUUGGGCCCAUCCCAAGCUCCCUGCUAAAAGAUUACAAUAAAAGAGAAGCAUCACUUGACUGUUUUCGUUUGUUUGAUCAAGCGGAUUGAUAGCGGAUCGAAGGGAGUGCGAUAGGGCAUCAUCUAUCCGGGUCGGUGCCGGACUCCUUUGUGAAUCAGUCCCUUUCCUUGUCUUCAAGAGUUCGGUUAGUUGAUCGAGAAAGCGGCAGGACCGUAAGGCUUAGCCUUGAAUCAGACCCUUUCCCUGUCUUCAAGAGCUCGGUUAGUUGAUCGAGAAAGCGGCAGGACCAUAAAUCUUAGCCUUGAGUUGGACUGCGGUCCCACAAAGCUAGUAUCCUUAGACCGCCUAAGAGACUUUCGGACUGUCGAAGGAAGGAAGUUCACUUUUUAGUGACCAGAAAUUGACGAGUUUAUUUAAUUGACUUUAAGAUCUUUCUUUAUGUUUUACUAGUUAAGGCCUUCGAUCAUCUGUCGGUGAGGUCGAUCAAAAAAGUCAAAGAUUGAUGAAACCCCGUCUUUUUAAGCAUCAACCACUUUUUCCCAUCCCAGGUAGCGUUAUGAACUUUCACUCCCUAUCUAUACUAGAACCUCGAGCCUCUUUCUUCUUUCUGUGCAACAGGCGUUGAUUGAUGGGAUAUAAGAAGCACACUGUGGAAUCGAACCACAAUCUUUUUCCUUACAUGGCGAAAGUCGAGUGUGAAAAUCUAGACUCGAAAGCAUACGCUUGUUAGAGGUGAUCCCUGCCUCCCCUUUUUGCCUAACCCAUUCGUUCACAGCUUCACCACUCUACUGAGGGUCAAGCUAUCACGCUCUUGAAACCUCGUAAAUUCGCUUUUAUUCAAUGAUAAUAUAAAGAAAAUUAGCAAUUUCGCUCCCCAACCCCACUUAGUGUUUGAACACCACCACCUUCACUGGUUUUACACAACAGAAUGAAUUCGUCAAUUCGAUGCGAUAGAGGACUGGAUGGGUUAUCCAAUUCGUCACUCAGUUGGUAGAGGUCAGAAAUGAACACCACCACCUUCACUGGUUUUACACAACAGAAUGAAUUCGUCAAUUCGAUGCGAUAGAGGACUGGAUGGGAUAUCCAAUUCGUAACUCAGUUGGUAGAGGUCAGAAGCAUUAUCAAGUAAGUCGGUUAUAAGUGGUUGUGCUCACACUACCGGAAGCGUGGCAGCGAUAAAAUGCAGUUCCACCCCAAACUGGAUUGCACUUUUGAGGUUUUGAAAGGCGUGAAAAUCCGAGUCUAGGGACGAAGUGGCUUAGUUGAACAUAGUGAGACUAAGGGACGAAAGGUCAAACCCAGAAAUGUGCAAGCGAGACCCAGCAAAAAAACUUUUUCGCGCGAAAGCCGUUGCUUGUUCCAUAAUUUGCUGGGAUGGGAAGUAUAGAUAGAAAGGCAGAAAAGGAGGCGUCGGCUCUGAACGGACGAAAGGUAAAACCCAGAAAUGUGCAAGUGAGACCCAGUAAAAAAAACAUUUUCGCGCGAAAGCCGUUGCUUGUUCCAUAAUUUGCUGGGAUGGGAUGUAUAGAUGAAAGGAAGAAAAGGAGGCGUCGGCUCAUAAAUGAUAGAAGAUUGAAUCAUUCCUUCAUUCUAUUCCAGCUAUUCCUUUCCGGCGGGUUAUUUAUUCAUGAGCUAGAUAGAUACGAGCUUCGAUUCACAGGCAGGAUAUAGAAAUCGGCCACUAUCUAUACAUAGUACCUUCUAGCUCUGCAACUAAACUAAAGGCUCUAUAACAUAGUAUACGCCUAGAACUGGUGAUGCAGAUAAUGCGGUAUCUCUUGGAAUUUGAGCGAAUCCAGAUGAAAUUUACCAAGUCAAAGCAAGGGGUUGAAAACGCACCACAAGGUACGGGAAUGACGUCUUGACUAAUUAAGAGUUUCUUCAAUAAUGGCUUGGUCGAAAGUCGUAACGAAGGCACCGGAUAAACAGCUAACAUAAACUACUACCGUACAACGCAUCCCGUGGGCGCCUUCAAAGGAUAUCAUUUGUAGGACGAGAUGCUAACCUACGCCCGUACAUUUCAACCUGUCUCCUUGGGACUUAUCACUGAAGAUGAAUUCCCGGUUAGCCGAUUACCUUGCCCGGUUAGGAGAGCAGUUAGAAGUAGGAAAAGAUGCCGACACCGAAUAGUUAAAGAAUUCUCCGUCGCUUCAAGACCGCCAGCCUAUUUACUUUGAGCUGAAGCAGACGCUGCCCAUGGAGAGCCUUUUCCUUUUUGAACAUUUGUGUGCCCAUAAUACAUGACAAAAAUUGGGCUUCUAGACGCCUUGCAAUAAAUAACCCCUCUACCCCCUUACACUAGUUACCUUCUAUCUCUUUCUCCAACAUUCGAUGAUUCCUCCUGCAGGCAAAUCAUCGAAGUCAAGAAAAAGUGAUGGGCCUGAUCUUCCGAUAUCAAUAUCUGUUCCCUAAGUUGAGCUCCGAAGUCUGGAUUUCUUCCUAAAUCUAAAGUAAGGGCAAGGCCCCGGUCGGUUCUCCCUUUCUUUCCUGGUUAUCUAUUCUAGUCGUAUAAUCAUACCAUUUUGCCAUACUAUUUUCAUAAUUCAUUCCACGUGGAAAAUCGUGUAGCUAGGGAACUCUUUAUCAUACGACUUGUCAUAUGAUCAUUUUCGUGAAUUCGACGUAGAAGAAGUUCGCCUUGCCUCCCUUUAUUAAGUACUGGGCUAAGGGCGGACCCCUAACCUAAGAGUUCUGGUUAUGACCAGCCGAAAACAUGACCUCUAGAUGCCUUAUAAGCGUCCUUUUAGCCUAUUCCCGCUUAUGCGUACUUCAUGGCUGAUAGUCCUACAGACGCUUGACGCCCCGGAAUAGCCUUGCUUUCGUGUUCCCCCUCAUUCCUUAGAUCAGGUUAGCACUUAUGCGGCUUCACGCAACUAUAUUUAAUCAAUUGAGUAGAGAGGGCAAUUGAAUCAGUCGUCAUCCUUCGCUCUUGUGCUAAAGGCUCUCUUACCACAGGUCGCCAUUCCAUCCUUUUUCGAAAGGGUAGAUGCUUUUCUCCUCGAUUCAUCGAGAUUUCAAGUUGACAUCUCGAACAUAGUUACCACAUGUCGCCAUUCUAUCCUUUUUCGAAAGGGUAGAUGCUUUUCUCCUCAUAUUUUCUAUUUAGUCGGCACUCUUGUAUGUCGAGUACUUUUAGUAGUCUUGCUCUUCCUUCCUCCAUUGCUGAGGUUAGCUCUAUAUUUUUGUCAUGUACUUUUUCUAUCUUUCUAAUUCAAAGGAUUAAGUCUUCCGCUAACAUAACAAAAAAGAAAGGAAAGCAGGGAAGAGGACUAAGCUCNNNNNNNNNNNNNNNNNNNNNNNNNNNNNNNNNNNNNNNNNNNNNNNNNNNNNNNNNNNNNNNNNNNNNNNNNNNNNNNNNNNNNNNNNNNNNNNNNNNNNNNNNNNNNNNNNNNNNNNNNNNNNNNNNNNNNNNNNNNNNNNNNNNNNUUCGGGUAUUCAACUUCAUUCAUGCCGAGCGGCAAGAGGGGUACUUUUCUGCCUCGACCAUUCUUCACUUCAGCCCGACAGGCUCCUCAAGGUCAUAUAGCCCAUGUCCUUCACUUCUUUGCAAUCGGACUGUACUUUCUCUUUCUUAUCUCACCAUCGGUGACGGUGACGAUUCUUUCCAGCGUAGAAGAAGACUUCCAGGCUACCCUGUGAAAGAUGAGGAAUAAACCUUCCAUUGAGAGGACGAAUGUCACUCCAGUUUUAUAAACACCUCUUCCUGAGAAGGUUGUUGUAAUGCAGGAAGUGGAAUCUUUACCGAGAGUUGAAAUAAUUCUCCCCCAGCCCCAGUUUAGAGAUUUCGUCAACGGGGUCAUGCUCUUUGAGAUAGCGUUGACCGUCAAUCCCUUAGCUUUCGACUUUGGGAUUCGGAGAGGUCUACGAACCUGUGCUUCGGCUUUCGCUGGCGGGCUUUCGUCAUCCAUCACUGUCUGGGCUGGGCCGUCGUUGUAAAGACGCGCAUCCGUACAGACUAGACUCCUUUAAAAAAGGGCUUAUUGAGAUUCGAAGAGGUCUACGAACAUGUGCUUCAGCUUUCACUGGCGGGCUUUCGUCAUCCAUCACUGUCUGGGCUGGGCUGUCGUUGUAUAGAUGCGCGUCCGUACAGACUAGACUCAUUUAAAAGAGGGCUUCUUGCCGGCAAAUACCCCCUUCUCAUCAACAUAUUUGAAGCAUUGAUGAAGGGUGGAACUAUUUGAGUCCCAAAGUGCGCUCUUCGACUCUCCAGCCCUUGACUUUAUAGAACUGGCGACAUUUUCUCAUACCUUUGCUAAGCAUGUCCUUGAGGGCCUCAAUGACGUCACCCUCGUUGCAACAAUUGGUGACAUAGGGGGGAUAGCCGGACAGAGAAAUUAGCCUUCACGGGGCUCCCGUAGGUGUCACCCUCAUUGCAACAAUUGGUGACACAGGGGGGAUAGCCGGAUAGAGAAAUUAGCCUUCACGGGGCUCCAAUAGGGUCUAUUCCACCAACAAAAACUUGAGCAAUAGCGUCUUUCACAGCUGAUUCAACAACAGCCAUUCUUAUUAUUCUCUCGGGAUCAGAAGCAGAAGGCUAGGCACCAAGAAGCAAUAGCCUAUGAAAGCAGAGAAAACUCGAACCUCCUAAACCUAAGGCAGCCUUUCUCCUUAUUAUUUCUCUUUAAUAAGAGAUAGCACCAGGCUAAUCGAAGAAUGUUGAUUCUUCUCUUUCAAAAGACUUUGGCCAUUCAAAGCAAUCCGCCCAAGGUUGAGAUGGCGGUUUACGCCAUGUUAGAGAAAUAAUCAUUCUCCGUAUCAUCCCUUCUACAGUUGCAAUUGGAUUUAAUGACGGGGGGGUCAAUUCCGAAAUUUAUCACUUUUUUUAGAAAGGAUACUAUAAGUUAUAAAAGUUAUAAUUUUUUAUAAUUUGAUUUCGAGGAUGAGCCGACCAAUCGUAACAUCAUUUAUGUAUGAGGAGCCAGACGACAAAGCAGUGCCGCCCCUAUCCUUUAAAUUGAUAGAUUCCCUUUUAUUAUCACCAUUGGAAGAUUUUUGAAGACGACUUGGUUAGGGCGGUCUAAAAUUUCUUUGCUUUGCUUAUUCCAAUACUGGGAUUGGGUUGGCUUGGCCAUUUUAUUUAUAAAAACCAUUUUUUUAGGCCAGCACGAAGGAACAAGCAACUUGAACUCCACUUUUUCCUUCAAUAGGUAAGGGUCUCCACCCUUGACCCAAGACCACUAACACCGAAAAAAUCAAGAAUUCAACCCUUCCUAUUGUUGUUCACAAUAUAUAUAUAAUUCCUAACAGUCUUUCAGUACUGGCUCUUGUUCUUGAUGUGGCUCUCUUUCGGAAGUUGCGGAAGAGAGUAUAGAUGCUCCGCUCCUGUUUUUUCUUCGGCAGUUGUGGAUUAGAUAUACGGAAAACUGAGUUUCCGUAGCUUGAACAUGAUAGGAUUUCAAAUAGAUGGAAAAAGCCCCUUGAAAGGUGCAAAAGUGACAUAGGGAGGGAUUAGCAGCUUGAUCAGCUUAAGAGGUAGACUUGGAUGAAUCUCAAUACGAAUGAGGGAGCCGACGCCUAUAAGAGGUAGAUGCGUCUUUUCAAGAUCCAUCAAAAGCAUGAGGAGAAGAAGUGAACCCGAAUAGGUGGUCAUUCAUGCUGUCUUCACCUUCACUUGCCAUAGUAAAUGCUCAGCCUUGCCAUAUCCCACGCUCGUAGCAAAGACGUGAACAACAAAGGCCUAUGUAAAAUGGACAAAAUCGGAUAUGAUUGAAUAACCGAACAAUUAGCGUACCUAGUAGCAACUAAGGGAGAGGAAAUGAGUGUAACGAAAUAGGUACGAAGUGAACGAAGUACCUAGGAAUCUUCAAAGCGACUAAAUGAGUUGAUAAACAAAUAGUGAAACGUAUGAAGUCGUUUCACUGUGUGAAACUCAUUUGAAACGAAUCGUUCAACUCAUUCAGAGACUUCGUUCACUUCGUACGUUUGGAUAGUGAAAUGUACGAAGUCAUUUCACUGUGUGAAAGUCAUUUGAAACGAAUCGUUCAACUCAUUUAGAGACUUCGUUCACUACGUACGUUGGUCGAGUGAUUGAACUAUGUUCAACGGAUAGUUAAACUGGCUAGUCUGAAGCGCACCAUUGGCUCUAUUUUAUGGUCUAGCGUUUCGCACCUUUCUAGGUCAAUUACAUCCUUUCCUGCUCCUGAAACCAAGAGAGAAGAACUUGACGAUGCACUAUUUUCAUGAUCAAAUGGUGACUUUGCUCUGUAACAUACCGUGCGUGAUCUACAAUUUGAUAGCUAUUUUAUAAAUAGCUCAAUCGAUCCUUUCUCUUUGAAGAGCUCAAUUACAAGGAAGGCUGAUGCCGAGUACCACAGCCACUAAGAAAGGAAGCAGCAAUAGACCAAGAUGCGAAGCUUACAAAUUCCCUAUCCGGGAAAAGAAGAAAAGAAGCAGGUCAGCCCAAGGGGCUUACUUAUUCAUUUGAACGCAUACAACAAUAGAGAAUUAGAGACUAAGCUAACAACUGAUUACACAAACGGGGAAAUACAAAAUGUUUAUCUACAUAGUCAUCAUUUGAACGCAUACAACAAUUAGAGAAUUAGAGACUAUGCUAACAACUGAUUGCACAAAUGGGGAAAUACAAAAUGUUUAUCUACAUAGUCUACUCUACAUAGGGCGCAGCUCCGGGGAGACUAAGACACCGAGGCUUUGGUGCCUAAUCAGGCAAUAGGUUCUCCUCCCCCGCACUUACCCACCAUAUGGGUCCUAUUCAACCCAUCUAUCAAAUAGUCGGCUCGAAUCCCCUUCCUUUAAGUGUCUAGGUCGCACUUUCUUGUUUUGGCUUGAUAGCAUUGCCCAUGACAAAUAGCAGACAUCAAGCAAGAUGAACUGAUCGUAUCAAGAUUGCAUCUACUCUGCCUCUGUUAGGUACGGAUAUUCCUCUUUCGAGUGACUUCGUACGUUGAACAUAGUUCAAAUCAUAUAGGAUUUCCUUAAUGCACCUGUCUGUGCAACCUCAUGGCGUAGAAGUUUACGAGAUCAAACACUCGUUAACUUCGGUGUCACAUGGAAGUUAUACAAUAUGGCUGCAUGUUAGUCGAUAUCCAUAUGUUUUGGAUCCGACCACAAAGGUGAAAUGGGUACGGGGAGGCUACUCUGGUACCGACAUCAUUAUCGCGCCAGUGGAAUUUUAAACCACUGGUUAUAAAGAAUAUAAGUAUGAUCGAUCCAAUCCCAAGAGAAAAAGAAAAGAAAGUACCAAUGUUCAUAUAUGCUUUUAUGCUUUAGUCCCCUUUGGUCUAUCUAUGGUAUGGAAGAGAAAGAUUCACCUCUACAACGGGGAAGAAGAAAACCCCCUUGUAGCUGCAAAAAAAAGAGGUGUUCGUUAGAACGAGCCUCUGAGACAGGAUCGUAGGGUUCCGUUGGAUUUGUCGAUUGGAAUUCUAAGCUAGUACAUCGCUUGCAGCCCAAGCUAAUACCUGCUUCUAUAUGAAUAUUUAUUCAAGGACUGAUGGUGGUGUCGUAGGGUUCCGUUUGAUUUGUCGAUUUGAAUUCUAAGUUAGUACAUCGCUUGCAGCCCAAGCUAAUACCUGCUUCUAUAUGUAAAUUUUUGUUCAAGGACUGAUGGUGGUGGUUUCCAAGUUGCUUUAUAAGAUAGGGUCAUCUGCCACAAGAUCCUAGGCCGAAAGAUACAUCCGGCAAGGAAACCAUCCCUUCUCUUCUGCUGAGUCGGGUGGUCAGGAGAUCUCUUCCCAAUGGCUUGACCGGGUCUCUGUGUUAUGCCAACAGGACCUUUGUUCGUUAGCUGCACCAGGCGAAACUGCUUAUACCACUCACUAGCCGUUAGAGGCUCAGGAGAUCUUUUCCCAAUGGCUUGACCGGGUCUCUGUGUUCUACCAGUAGGACCUGUGUUCGUUAGCUGCACCGGGCCAAACUGCUUAUACCACUCACUAGCCAUUAGAGGCUAAUUUAGUUCCGCAGACAUAUCCUUUUGUUCUAUAUUUGAGUGGAGAUCAGAUAAGCAGCAAUAUGGAAAUCCAUGACUUAGCCACUUUGUCAUCAGGAAAAAAAGAACGCCAGCCCUGUCAUCGGACUAUUGGACAUUAGCUACUUUCGGGAUCCCAAUUCGGCAAUACCUUUUGCCAUAACACCGGACCAGACCUUCGGUUCUUACACUUCGUUCCUUCUCCCCUCUGCUCUGUAUUAUUCUCCAUGAACUUUGCCUUCCAUACCUUUUCUCAUGGUCCUUACACUUCGUUCCUUCUCCCCGCGCUCUGUGUUAUUCUCCAUGAACUCUCCCUUCCAUACCUUUUGUCAACAAGAAUCUCAUUGCGGCAUUGGGAUCCCGUGUCCUUGGCCUAUUGGAUAUAUCCAAAUCAUGGGUGAUUGGCCAUAUGAGGUUCGAAAUUCGCCUUUUUCUAUAGUGACACCGAGGUUUAUGAGAUUGAUGAAGGGAAAUAGAAGAGUAAAGGCCAAAGAAAUGUUUUUUAUUCAACAAAAGGGACAAAGAAAAGAAAAUUCUUUGUCCUUGGAAGAGCGAAGGUUCGGAAGCUUUUCUUUGUCGUGGUACCGAAGUUUUCCUUAUCUGGGGAUCUUUGGAUACCAAACCAAUAGGUCAACAUGGGACUUUGUUGGAUUGAUAGAACCUUCUCUAUACCGACCGAAAACCAUCUCUUUACUCAAUGGAUAGCGCGUAUUCUCUUUCAAUCAACAAAAUGAGAAGUGGGGGAGAAAAAAAAAGAGGUCUUUAUUGAAGAGGCUUUGCACCUGAAAUAGGACUAAUGCAGAUCUAGAAGAAUGGUCUAGGCUUUCGAAAAGAUGAAGAUGCAAGGGGUAAAGAGACAGCCUUUUGAACAAGCAAGCUGACAUAAGUAUUCUAGCUCGCGCCCACUUAGAGCAGAUGGAGAUUCUCGGACGGGGAAAAGCGGCACUCGACAUCUAUUAAACAAGACCAAGAACAAAGCCAUACCAUGCCCUCGGGAGAAAGUAGUGAUGAUUGCCAUGAAUGCUGCCCUCGAGGACGUGUACAAGAAGGUCUUUGCCGAUUCCUAUCAACAUGGUGCAAGAAAGUAGUGACGAUUGCCAUGAAUGCUGCCCUCGAGGACGUGUACCAGAAGGUCUUUGCCGAUUCCUAUCAACAUGGUGCAUCUCUUAGUGGAGGGGCGUGAAAAGUGGAGACUUUGACUGAAUGAAUAGGGAUCAAUUGAUAGACAUUUUUCUUAAGGAAGAGAAUCCAGGACGAACGCUUUUUUCAUUCGCUAUGCGCUGACUGGAUGCGUACUCGCAUGAUCAAUCGAUGGACGGGGAAAUUGCGUGAAUGAUGAGACCGGCCUAACCUAAAGUCAAGGCUCUUCCGUCUCUUGAUGGUGAAUCUUGAUUGACUAACACUAGGAACCGUUUUAGGGAAAGAAGAAGCAUGGCAUGAGAUAGGUGGCGGAUCAAUUUUUGAUAGCGAAUUACUUGACUCGACGGAUGGAGGGAGAGCCCUCCAACUCAAGCAUGAAGUCAAUGUUGAGUCAACAACAAUCGAGAGGUGUACCACCAAGCAAGAUCUAGACCAGCCCCUUAAAUAGGUAUAAGGUGGAAAACCUGCGCUUCUUCAAACAUCCCAUAAAUCUAAAUAAAGUAGGGACUUCAAAGCUUGACUAACAAGCGAGAAAGAUGACUUUGAGAAAGAAAAGGGGCGCUAUAGCUGCAAUCAAAAAACAGCGGUAACGAGCACGAAAGGCCCCCUUACUAUUGAUAGGGCGUUAGCGCUUUACUAAUAACAUUUAUAGGGCAGACUUUUUUCAGCUUGAUCGGAAUCGAUUCUAUGAUUGAAUAGCAGAAGUGCUACUUAGUAGUAGAAACUCGGAGAGACAGACAGAGAGGGGACUCUUUCAUACCUGCUAACUCCUAGGAUGAGAAGUAGGUCCCUUGUUUUUGGCAGGAAGAGUUCCAGCCUUUGUUGCCCCUCGGUAGAGUGAGUCUACUUAGCUAGGUCCCUUGUUUUGGCAGGAAGAGUUCCAGCCUUUGUUGCCCUCGGUAGAGUGAGUCUACUUAGCGAACUUGUAGGAUGCGGUGAUCUAUUGAUCAAUAUGAAUCUCGAGGGUGGAUGGUUGAUCGGCGCCUCCUUGUCUUUGAGGCUCUCCGGCCGGGGAGGGGCUUGCUAUCGUAACCUUUUCUCCCGGUGUAUGUGAAAAAGAGUGACGAACUCAUUUUUAUUCGGUCAUAGGUUGGUCCAAGAACGAGAGUCGGCUUCCAACAAUAAGUCUGUUGUUCCCCAGUAGCUCAGUGGUAGAGCGGUCGGCUGUUAACCGAUUGGUCGUAGGUUCGAAUCCUACUUGGGGGUUAUUUUUUAGUUAUCGCUUUUCAGACCUAGCGACCCCUUUCCUUCUCCUUUGUUUCUAAACUAGCAAAAUCGUGGGACAUCAGAAGCGGUAAGUUGAUUGGUUGUUUUUAUUCCUCACUCUUGUAUAGGUUAACUUGGUUCUUUCCAUUCUUAGGUAUAAGAAGGAUCCACUAGAAAGACUGGAGUAGUAUGUUCAUUAGCCGGAAAGAAUUAGUCUCCACUAGCGUCAUUCGAAAAACGAACAAGAAAAGGGUUACUCUUUAAGAUAGAUGGAUGUGGCCGGCUUCUUGUAGACUGAACUUUCUUCUCUUUAGGCUCCGAGUUCUUUUUUGGGGGGAUGGUCUAAUUUACUAGUGGCAACGAAGUUCUUGGUAAUUAGCAAGGGGGAAGGAGGAUCUCCACUCAUUUCAUUCAUUCAGUGCCUGCGGUGAGGCGCGACCCACAACAAACGAAGGGGGAAAGCUUGCUUUGCUUGCUGUAGCCCUAAUCUCACCCCAUUUCAUUCAUUCAGUGCCUGUGGUGAGGCGCGACCCACAACAAACAAAGGGAGAAAUCUUGCUUUGCUUGUUGUAGCCCUAUUUUUGUAGAUUAGGCUUGGUAUGCGUAAGAUAUAUUUAAGUAGGCUCGCAGCUUCGCUCACCAGAAGAGCCUGACUUUUAUUAGAUUAGUAAAGCGCUAGCGCACAACCUAUAUAAGGGCUUUGAAUGGAAAGGGGAAGAAAAGAAAACAAAGAGAGUCAUUUUCUUUUAGGAACAUGGCUCUUUCAUUCACUUGCUCAUGAACUCGCAGCUUCGCCAGAAGCGACGAGGGGGGGGGGGGGAAGGCCGACGACUACAUGAGGGGGAAGCUUUCGUAGAAGCUUUACCCCUUGCUUUACAGAGAUAGUUAUGAACUGACUAAAUGACUAGAUUCUCCCGGAACGCUAGCUAAGCUAAUCGUCUUAGUUCCCUUCAGAGAUAGUUAUGAACUGACUAAAUGACAAGAUUCUCCCGGAACGCAAGCUAAGCUAAUCGUCUUAGUUCCCUUCAAUAAAAUCAAUAAGCUUAUUGAUUGAUUCAGGGCACCUCCCCCCUUCUUAGAAUUAGAACCCAUUGAGGGGGGCCUCGGCCCCGGAAGGGGAGAGUGGCUGAGUGGUCAAAAGCGGCAGACUCUAAAUCUGUUGAAGUUUUUCUACGUAGGUUCGAAUCCUGCCUCUCCCACGUUUUUGUUGUCGACUUCAGAGAAGAGAAAAAGGGCAUUCGUCCGCGUAGGAAGGCCAACCGAGCAAAGCUCUUUCUUUUUUGUUGGCCGAGCCGUGAAGUGAAAUUGUGUCGUAUGUUAGUUAGAGAAGUUGGCGAACUACUACGAUCUAUAGAUUUCCCAUCUAUAUCCAAUCCCAACGAGAAUAGAAGCGAGUCGCUUCCGGCCUGUCUUGUAGUCGUAGUCUUUUAGCUUAUGUAGUCGUCGGCCUUCCUACACGCAUGCGUCCGCCAGAAUGCCUCCUUGGUUCGGGACGAAGCCAAGCCGAUACAUACGAUAGGCGAAGGAAAGACCCCCAUUUCAUAGCGCCUGGGGAACGCAAGUUUGAUCGAGGAUUGGAGAGGAGAGGUGGAAGAAAGGGCUCGGGAUGGAUUUAGGAGUCUUUGUGCGAGCCGUAUGCGGUGAGAGUCGCACGUACGGUAACGAGGGGGGUUCGCGUCUAUACGUGUAGUGUGGUGCUUAGGCCUACCCACCCUAUUUGUUCCAUGAUCUAUGGGUCUACACACGUACGGUAACAAGGGGGGUUCGCUUCUAUACGUGUAGUGUGGUGCAUAGGCCUACCCACCCUAUUUGUUCCAUGAUCUAUGGGUCUACUGGAGCUACCCACUUCGAUCAAUUAGCCAAGAUUUUGACUAGAUACGAAAUCACUGGUGUUCGAUCUAGUGGUAUUUUUAAGGGGAUUCUAUUUAUCGCUGUAGGAUCCCUAUAUAAGAUCACUGCAGUUCCUUUUUGGGCGGCUGUAGGACGGCCGCCUAUAGGUGGUAGGGUAGGGUGGGUGGUACCGCUCAGAUUGCGGCCAAUCUUCCUAACCGCGCGCGGGCCGGGCUUAGAGCGCGUGAAACUCAUCACUACCUCGUAAGGGCGUUGAGACCAUAGCAUGUUACACGAAAGCGCCGCUUUCUCUGUAGUGUUGUCACACAGCUGCCCGCCUAGAAGAGCAACUCGCUCUGUAGUGUUGUCACACAAGAUAAGCACGCCGCCCGCCUGCUGGCCGGGCGAAUCGAAGUUAUCUUCCGGUCAACUGUCCACCCAGUCAAGUGCAAAAAACACAGUAGAAUCACGCAACGCAAGGCGAAUCGAAGUUAUCUUCCAGUCAACUAUCCACCCAGUCAAGUCCAAUAAACACAGUAGAAUCAUGCAACACACGCUGCUGGUGUGCUUCCUGCUCGCGAGGAAAGAAAGAAGACUAGGGUUUAGUUCAGAUUUGACUGUUUGCAGCAUGGGAGCAGAUUCCCAACAAAAUCCCUGGGAACAAUGAAAAAAAAAGAUAUCUCGGUAACUAAAACUAUAGGGGGCUGUAUUGGCGAUAUCCAACGGUGAACAGCUGCCCAAAAGAAAAGCCGCCUGGAAGUCCGAGGACCUUUAGUACUGUACUCUACCCCCGAACCAGCAGCCUUCGCGCCAAGCAAGACCGCCCUUGUCCCUUUCCUUUCUCCAUUCCGCCUCCUUCUUUGCUUUGUUCCAAUAGAGUCUAAGGCAAAAGGACAUUUAGUACUGUACUCUACCCCCGAAUCAGCAGCCUUCGCGCCAAGCAAGACCGCCCUUGUCCCUUUCCUUUCUCCAUUCCGCCUCCUUUUUUGCUUUGUUCCAAUAGAGUCAAAGGCAAAGUGGUUCGUAUGCAUAAUUGACGAAAAGGAACGAACAACCUCUCAAUUCUGGCUUUAUGGACAGGAUUCAGUCAGCCUCACGACAUAAUCAGAGUGAGGCUUUGGUUACCCGCAAACGCUUCUCCAAAGGUGACCCUCUCGAGUUUACGGCUGUUUCUGUCAUUGAAGUAGCCUGCGUCGCCCUACCAAACGAAAGAAGCCACUAUCAAAUAGCUCACCCUAUUGAAGUACCAAAGGUGCGCUCAGCCUGGUGACAAGGAAAUGGGUUUGCCCUUGAAUUGAAGUGAUGAGGUCGGAAAGAGGGAAAUAGGGCUCCUAUUGACUAAUGGUUGGUUCUUCGCUUUCCUUUAGAAUGAAAGUUGCUAUGAAGCCCCUACUACUUACUUUGUUUGAUUCAAAAGGCGAACAGCCCCCCCAACUAGUUGUAUGGGGUGGGGUGCUUGUGAAAAGCUGCUUUGGAUAUGAGUAAUUCCUAAAAAAAGGCAAAGUCCGGUAUUUGACGAAGAUUGAACACGGAGCCCGUUCCGAAUGCUUCUACGAUCCGGAAUUUCUCGCGAAGAGAAUAAGAUGCUGCUUCCCUUCCCUCUUUCUUUUCCCGCUUUUUCAAUCUUCCCCUCUAACGCGGGCUGGGCGGUGAAGGGCGCAGGAGGAAGAAAUCUAAGAGAAGACGCUCGACUCUUAGGUCCUUUUUUUCAGUGCAACACAGGAAAGCGCCCUCUUUUUGUCAUCCCUGAAACUUUCCAGAUUUUGUAUUGAACACAUGGCGUAGCUAGGACCCUUCAAAUUCUGUUUGAGCCUAUGUUCAAGCCAAACCCACUCCCUAUUUUAAUAAGGCUGGAAAGAAUGCCCAUCAAGUUCACAUAAGGGAAUGCUUUCCCCAACCAUUAAAGGAAAGGCUCGACAAAGGGAGGGAGGUGCGGCGGGGGAAGGAAAACGCUUUCGGAGAUCGAGAUUUUUUUUUCAUCGAAAACGAAGAAGGCCGAGGAUGGCCUACGGUGCGUCUUAUCUGAAGGGAACACGCUUUUUUGACCGCCGUGGUAUGAUUGCCGGGCCCUCUCCUCGUUCCGCCCUUCCUAUUGGGAUAGCUGCCUUAACGAAGAAGGCCGAGGAUGGCGUACGGUGCGUCUUAUCUGAAGGGAACACGUUUUUUCGACCGUCGUGGUAAGAUUGCCGGGCCCUCUCCUCGUUCCGCCCUUCCUAUUGGGAUAGCUGCCUUUAGGCUUUGCCUGCCCUUUAUAAUAAAAAAUUCCGGCUCGGCCCGGGAAAGCGCUGGCAACAACAGAAAGGAAGGGGUCCAUGUAGCUGCUGUGUCCGCCCCCUUCUUAGUCAAUGAGGCACAUCAGGUUCAUCAUCUACUACAAAAUAGAGAAUCCACUUCAGAUAACCACGUCUCUACUAGGAAGUGUGUGUAAUGGCCGAGAGCGGACCUUUUUGGAUAUAUAAUCCAAGUCGAGAGUACAGUUACACGAAAAGCCGUCUGAUGGAAAACUACUUUCACGUUCGGUUUAGAUAACACUUUUUUCGUUGAGAAUUCCUCGUUCCCUUUCAUGCGAAUUCCCCAGCGGCGAAUUCAAAACAUGUGGGGCCCUAUCUAUUCCAUCUCUCGAGCCCUGAUGAAAACCCCCUACCCUUCAGACUCUAUAUAUCUUUUGACUCUAUAUAUGUGGGCACCUGAUAUCUAUGAGGGUUCACCCACCCCGGUUGCACAAUUCCUUUCUAUUACGCCUAAAAUCUCUAUUUCUGCUAAUAUUUCACGUGUUUCUAUUUAUGGUUCUUAGUGAGCUACAUUGCAAUUAAUCGUCUUUUUCUGCAGCAUUGCUUCUAUGAUCUUAGGAGCACUGGCCGCCAUGGCCCAAACAAAAGUAAAAAGACUUCUAGCUCAUAGUUCAAUUAGACAUGUAAGUUAUAUUCGUAGUGGUUUCUCAUGUGGAACCAUAGAAGGAAUCAAUUACUACUAAUUGGUAUCUUUAUUUUUGUAUCAAUGACGAUAGAUGCAUUCGCCAUAGUUUUUGAAUUACAACAAACCCGCGUAAAAUACAUACCUGAAAUGGGCGCUCUAGCCAAAACGCAUCCUAUUUUGGCUAUUACCUUCUCCAUUACUAUGUUCUCGUACACAGGAAUACCCCCGUUAGCCGGCUUUUGUAUCAAAUUCAAUUUGUUCUUCGCCGCUUUGGGUUAUGGGGCUUACUUCCUAGCCCUAGUGGGAGUAGUGACUAGCAUUAUAGGUCGUUGGGCGGCCGGAAGGUUGGCACGAGUAAGUAAGUUUGGGGGACCGAAGGCAGUUCUCCGUGCACCGGACACGUAGCUUACCGAAUCAGUUGCGACACGGAUGGGAAUGCAUGCUACGAAAGAUAGGGUCGAGUCUGAUACAUCAACCGUCUACUCAAUAUCCUUUUACGAGUCCAUAAUGACUACACGAGAUGAACCUUGGUUUGGUGAAUUGAAGUUGGCGUUCGGUGUAAUAGGACUCCCAAUUACUGCACGCGAUCGUAUACUGAGGUGCUCCCAGCCGGUUGUUGGAACCACGCGAGCUCGGCCGGGUCUCGAUUUAGAAAGAUGAAUGGCCAAAAAGUCUAAAUAGAGGGUUACUAAUUCCCCAUCUCAUUGGGGGCGGAAAAUGAAUCGACAUAUCGAUGUGAUACAUGCCUUUCGAUUUUUGUUGGGAAAGAACGGCGAAGUCCAUACGAAUCGUCCAACGAAGAAUAAGAGGAGAGCAAAGCGCCAAUGGCGCACGAAGCGCAUGCGGAACGGGCACGGAGAAAAAGAAGUGUGGAGGAGAAGCAGCCGAGCUCUUUCCCUUCGCUUCCUGGGCCCAAAGCAGUGCAGUCUUUCCUGGCCAAAUCAAGUAUUUGGGGCUUCUUGCUAUGCUACAACACUAUAAAAAUCCAAUUUGAUUAGUAAUAUAUAUGAAUAGAAAGAUAGAUCCAUCCAUCUAUCCUAUCCGAUAUAGAUUUUCAUAUCUAAAAAAGAAUCGAUUUCAUUCAGUGUUUGAUUCAAAGAACUGCGCUUAGCCCCCCUGCUCAUGAAACGGCUCUGCUGCAAUGGAUAGCAAGGGGUCCGCAGUACCCGAAGCACUAGAGUGAUCCAGUAUCCGGGAAGGUUCCUAGAAGUGCCUACUACUACACCACACGACACUUGGCUCUACACAUUUACAGAGCUAACCCCUGUCCAGUGCUUGGCAGAGCUAAGGGGGCUUCAAUCCUUACUCUUUAUCCCCAUCUUCGCCCAGGCUAACGGGGCCUUACUUAUUCAGGGGGGAGCCUCGAAAAGCACUGUUGAGAGGAAGAUCCUUGGCCCCUCUUCAUUCUCUACAGGGUUCCAAACCUUUCUUCAACAUAGGUGACAACGAGCCAGGCAGAGAUGGAAGAGAUCAAACACGGGAAUAAGAAGCAAGCUCACCUUCCUUUUUGAUCAUCGCCCAGGCUAACGGGGCCUUACAUAUUUAGGGAGGAGCCUCGAAAAGCACUGUAUAGAGGAAGAUGCUUGGCCCCUCUUAAUUCUCUACAGGGUUCCAAACCUUUCUUCAACAUAGGUGACAACGAGUCAGACAGAGGUGGAAGAGAUCAAACACGAGAAUAAGAAGCAAGCUCACCUUCCUUUUUGAUCAUUUUUAUAGUGGGGGAUGAAGAAAGUGGACAAAACAGGCUCGCAUUUCUCAUCGAACAAAUACAGGAAAAGAAUCAUAUUGAAAACUCUCCUACCCCAACCCCUUCCUUUGUAGAGCCCGUGUAUUAUAAGUGAUCCGAACCUGCCCGUAGCGAGCCUCCCAUAGAGGCAAGUGAAGUUGGUGAGCCGUAUGAUGGGAAACUAUCUCCUACGGUUCGGAGAGGACUCAGCUGUUAGUUAGUACCCCCUUGGUUUCAGGGUGGACCUUUUCACUCUAUUUUAUUAUAUACGCUUAGCGAAAAGAAUGUUUUUUGAUACAAUGGAUCGUGACAAGUCGUUACUACAAGCAAUGACUUCCUCUUUCAUUACUUUAUUCUUUCCAUAUCCCUCUUCUUUGUUCUCAGUUACUCAUCAAAUGGCACUCAGUUCAUAUAUUUAAGUUCGAUCAUUGACAAGUUUCAAAGAAAGGGUGGGCCAUUGAUAAAGAAUCGAUGGAAAACAACAAUGCUAGCAGAUGGCGGGCCUCCGCUUUUCUUUUCAUUAAUGAAAACCGCCGGUUAUUAUGAACUCAAAUAAAAAAAGAUGGAUUUAGAAGGCUUGUUCAAAAGAAAAAAAGAUGUGGGUGGCAUUAUGAUUGGGGUGUCGGUUAGAAAGGUUCUUACAAUGUUCGUUCAAUAAAGCAGCAUUAUUUUUUUCUUAACUUAAGGAGGGAAGAGGGCUUUCUAAGAAGGGCAUGGGACCAAUGAAUAGAACAGCACAACAAAAUGAUGAAAUGAAGAAGAAUGAACGAGAGGCAUCGGAGGAAGUACUGACGAACUUCUUACUUGUGUUUGGUUAACUACUUUACUGACUUGGGGUUCUUUCUCGUAAGUGAUAUACCUACACCCCGCACGCACACUCACUAUAUCUAUAAACGUAUAAGUUUCUAGCCUUUCAAAAAGCCCCUCUCCCUUUGUCUACGCGCUUACGCUUAGUAUGUUGUUUAUAUGCUUCUUAAUAAGCCAGAGGCCCCUCUUUUUUGUUCUUCUUUUGCUUGCGCACCAAUCCAGGGGCUAAGGGACCCAAUUCUUAAGACUCAAGAUGCAACUUACGGCAGUCUUUGAUCUAGCUAUAAGGCUUCGAGCUGGCUCAGAAUACCCGGCUUUUGUACCCAAUUCAUAAGACUCAAGAUGCAACUUACGGCAGUCUUGGAUCUAGCUAUAAGGCUUCGAGCUGGCUCAGAAUACCCGGAUAUAGAGCUUGAUGCAGUCAAACUUGACCCAAUUUCAAGGUUGCCGCUAAGCAACAUUUUCUGAUGAUGGUGAAGAGUAUUCUCCCACAAUGUUUGUUGGCAGGUCGGCUUGCAGAGUUGAGUCUCAAGCUAGGGAUCACCACUUCCAUUAGCAGAAGCUCCGAUAUGAAAUAGCAAUCGUUAUAGAUAGACUUUGAGAUGCUUGAAUAGCUGCAGCCUAGCCUUUUCGUUAACUGGAUCUCCUACCUCCACUGUUAAUAAGUGGCGGCAAAAGCUAGGGAUCACCACUUCCUUUAGCAGAAGCUCCGAUAUGAAAUAGCAAUCGUUAUAGAUAGACUUUGAGAUGCUUGAAUAGCUGCAGCCUAGCCUUUUCGUUAACUGGAUCUCCUACCUCUACUGUUAAUAAGUGGUGGCAAGACUCGAUUCCUCGACCUCUGCCUGCUCAUCUAUGGUGAAUUGUGUGAACCGACUCAUCUAAAAAACUUAGAUAUCAGAGAAGGGACACUUUUAUUGAGUUAAUUAUGUAUUAAUAGCUAGUACGUCGUUGCAGAGUUAGAAUACCCCAAACAGUAUCAUUUGAACACUUGGUUAAAAAAGAACUUUGAAGAAAGUCAAGCGCACCAAGUGCGUGUGAUAACUAGAAAUUCACAAUUAGAAAGAGUNNNNNNNNNNNNNNNNNNNNNNNNNNNNNNNNNNNNNNNNNNNNNNNNNNNNNNNNNNNNNNNNNNNNNNNNNNNNNNNNNNNNNNNNNNNNNNNNNNNNNNNNNNNNNNNNNNNNNNNNNNNNNNNNNNNNNNNNNNNNNNNNNNNNNNNNNNNNNNNNNNNCGUGCUCAAAUUUUGAACUUUGUCCAACACCAUUAAACAGGAUGGAGCAACGCUUAACUUGCAGUUCAUGACACAAUGGAGCAUCUUAGACAAGAUGAAACUGAGGAUUUGUCAUUGUCCCCUCCAGCUGUUGGCUCCAUGCAGAUUGCUGGAAGCAAUGGCUUUGGUCAUAACAUAGAGUUCAUGUCUCAAGCUUUCCUCUGAAACAGAUGCUCUGAAAUUGAUAUAGAGGUAGAGGAUGAUACAUCAAUUACUGAUAAAGAUCAACCCCUCCCCAUAUUUCUCAAGGUACUUUUGUUUUUCUCUAACCAAUCUUUCAUUUCUAAAAAAUGUUUCAAAGAAUCAAAUUGUUGAUAUAUGUUUCAGAGUUUUCACUUCUGCCAUUUAAAUGGUCUUUGAAUGUAGUUCGCGGAUGUUGAGUACAAGGUGAAGAUUAGCCAAGCUUCGUCCAACAAUCCUGUCAAGGCAGCUGUAUCAAAGGUAGCUUCCCAGUUUGAGCAUGACGAUUACAAGCAGAUACUCAAGGGUAUAAGAGGAAGGGUGAAAUUCUUGCCUUAAUUGGGCCUUAUGGCAGUGGGAAAACAACCUUGUUAAAGAUAUUGGUAGGAAGAUUGCAAGAAAAUGUCAGAGGAACUUCACAUACAAUGACAUCCCAUAUAAUACAGCCAUCAAUAGGAGGUAUAUUACCUAUCGAUAAAUAAUUAUUUUUUCCUUCUCUCUUUCUAUUGCAUUAAAACCAAGAAUAUAGAAAAGUCUUUCUUUCAAUGUACAUGAUUUUGUAUUAACUUCCAUACCGAAUUGAGCAAUGUUGUGCUAGGUGGGUUUCGUGACACAAGAUGAUGUGCUUUUUUCAAUGUACAUGAUUUUGUAUUAACUUCCAUACCGAAUUGAGCAAUGUUUUGAUAGGUGGGUUUCGUGAGACAAGAUGAUGUGCUUUUUCCACAAUUGACUGUAGAGGAACCCUAGGUUUUUGCUGCAUUCAUAAGACUUCCAAGCAAGAUGAGUCGACGUCAGAAGUAUGAAAAAGCUGAAGUGAUUAAUAAAGAAUUAGGCCUGGAAAGGUAUGUGAGCUACCUUUCCAUGAACUUCCUUCUCGCCCUUAAUUACAAAGCACCACAAUCUAAAACUAUCAAAAGAAGUUGAACAUGAUUGUUGCAACUGUUCAUUCCUGAAUUUCACAAUCAUAGAUGUCGUCGCACGAGAAUAUGUGGAGGACUUAAUAAAGGAACAUAUGGCGGAGAGAGAAAAAGAACUAGCAUAGGGAAUGAAAUCCUGUUUGAUCCUUCUCUCAUCUUGCUCGACGAACCAACUUCAGGGCUUGAUUCGUCCUCCGCAAGGAAGGAACGAGUCGGUUCCCCUUUCCAUCUUUCGGUAGCAUAAAGAAAAUAGAUUCAAAUUGACAAACCACCAAAAGAGUGAGAAAAAGGGGGCAAGUGUACAUUAGGCCAUGUGCAACAAACAAAGUACAAGGAUAGCACCGUACCCUCAUAGUCCUCAAUCUUUGGCACAUCUGGAUCGGGAUCGGCGGUGUGUACAUUAGGCCAUGCGCAACAAUCAAAAGACACGGAUAGCACCGUACCCUCAUAGUCCUCAAUCAUUGGCACAUCUGGAUCGGGAUUGACGGAAACUCGCUCGGUCUGCGCGUCUACUGGGGCACCAUACUUACUUUUUUCUAUAUGAUAUAAGGAGCGCACGGAACUUCAUAUAGAGUGAAUAGAAUUCACUCUAUACCCAUAUCCCUGGAACAACUGUAAAAUAAACUCCAUCAUAGUCUACCCCACUUUGACUUUGACUUGAAAGAGUAAGUUUUCGCCUCUGUUGUUGAAACGUCAGAACCCGUUGGGGAAUCUAUUCUAGACUCGCCUGCCAGAAUUAGAUCUAUCUUACUCUUCCUUGGUCUCUUCCACGGAUCGGUGGAUAUGAAAUAGAAUGAAUUCAAGGACAAAGUCGCCGGUAUACUGUGAUCCAGAUCCAGGAAGGGCCAGACAUGAAUCGGAAAGAGUCUCGGUGGAUAUGAAAUAGAAUGAAUUCAAGGACAAAGUCGCCGGUAUACUGAAAUCCAGAUCCAGGAAGGUCCAGACAUGAAUCGGAAAGAGUCACUUUCCUCAUAGGAGAAAGGGUGCGCGCUAACGCUAGAGCAGCUCUUUUUCACGAUAUAGGUGAAAUUUAAUUAAUUUAGUACUUAAGGUCUUCCCUCGUCAAACGAAUAAAAAAAUCAGGUUGGCUUUUUGCCGUGCUCAAAUUUUUUCAGUUAUAGGGCGGAGAAAGGGAGGCAACUGAAACUUUUAGAGUCGAGUUUACGCUCUUUUCUCCUCUUUCGAUAAGCUUUUCCAUGCCGUAUUCGUACUCUUGUACCCUUGCAGGGGAAUCCACUUCUGAGAAAGAGAGAAUCCCGGAAUGCAUAUGCUCUUUUCAGGGUUGAAUGAAGACUUCGUUGUGGUAUGGCAGCAGUAGCAAAUAAAAGAAGCUGUUCACUCUGCUUUACCGAGAAAGGGGUGACUAUCACACGGAAAUGAAACUAGUAAAGUAAGAUGCCGGAACUCUUGCUUUCGUCUUGUCUUUACUCUUCCCCCCAUCCUCCCGUCGCCUGUCCACUCAACUCUGAUACCCGAAUCUCCUUUUGUUUGAAGUUUAUUGGACAUGAAUGAACCCGAACAGACGUACCCGCUGCUUCUGCUUUCAUCCUCCCGUCGCCUUUCCACUCAACUCUAAUACCCGAAUCUCCUUUUGUUUGAAGUUUAUUGGACAUGAAUGAACCCGAACAGACGUGCCCGCUGCUUCUACUUUCUACCAUAUGGAUUCAAUUUCAUAAUGUUAUUACCGGACUCCAUUUAUUGAAUUUGGUCUAGCUAUAUUACAAGCUUAUGUUUUUACGAUCUUAAUCUAAUUAUAGUAGACAACCGACUUUCUUAAUAAAGAGAAGUUGGGGACAUAGUAAACCUCCUACUAUAAGAGCGAUUCCCUGGGACCGGAAGGGGAAAGAUUGAAUCUUGAAAGACUGAGCCCCCGGCUAGCAAGAUCGGGAGGGUUAGUGUCCUCUUAAGAAGGAAUACCCAACUUCUGGGGUCAGCUUCGAUCACGAGGAGAGAAGAGCGGACCAUUGAAAGUCUCAAUUCCUAUCCGCCCAAGGUAGAGAGUUCGAUUUACGAGGAGAGAAGAGCGGACCACUGAAAGUAUCAAUUCCUAUCCGCCCAAGGUAGAGAGUUCGAUUUCUAAUCCAACAAUUUAUUGACCUACGAAUCCGCUAUUACGCAACUCAACCCUUCUCCAAAAACUCUUUCAGUUUUUGGAUGCGCAAAACAAUCUAUUCCCCUUUACGACGACUCGGUGACCUUUGACACGUUAGACCUGGUUGCACGUAAUCUUUACUUUCGCCUUUCACUCGUGCAGUUGGACUGACUAGUGACUUUAAAUUAAACCUUGAGACCGAGCCCUGCCUCUCACCUUUCGGUUCAUUGCAAGGAAAGACUAAAAAGAAAAAAGGAAGCUUUCGGCGGACACAAGCCCUACCUUUCACUCGUGCAGUUGGACUGACUAUUGACUUUAAAUUAAACCUUGAGACCGAGCCCUGCCUCUCACCUUAUGGUUCAUUGCAAGGAAAGACUAAAAAGAAAAAAGGAAGCUUUCGGCGGACGCAAGUCCUCGAGACUUGACACAUAGACACCGGGAAGCGUGCCCCUUGAGACUGGUCCUUCGUUUGGAACUGCCCUUUUCCUUUCCAAAGUGGAAUUCCUCCUUGCUUUCCCCUUUGACCUGUGCCAAACUCCACUUUUGCUGUUGCCAGGUGGAAUGAUUCAUUCAACCUCGGUAUCGGCAACCAAGACACCCUUCUCUGUCGAAUGAAUCUUCAAAUCAUCAUCUUCAAACCACGACUCCGAUCACGGUUUCCAGUUGACUUUAUCUCAGGUAAACCAAGACACCCUUCUCUGUUGAAUGAAUCUUCAAAUCAUCAUCUUCAAACCACGUCUCCGAUAACGAUUUCCAGUUGACUUUAUCUCAGGUGACAGGGGCAGGAGGACACUUCACAAAAUGCGCUUUGACAUCGAGCGAGAUCUUUGAAAUUCAGUUAGAAUAGCACUGGGUGGGUAAGAUAUAGGAUUUUUGUCUGAGUCGCAUGGAUCAAAAAAUGGAUAUAUGAUUUCAAGUGCACUCGUUGAUUUCGAGAAAACCGAAUCGAUUGGAUUUUUUCCCAGCGAUGCCUCCAACUAGAGAUUUUUCUUCAUAGAACUGGCAUCAAAUGUAUAUUCAUCCAUCUAUCAGCUGCGUCUUCUUUAGUGAAUGAAAGAGGGACUUGUUUCAUAGGUAGCAAGGAUAGGAAGAAGGGGUUGAAUGAAGGGUGCUGUUGAGGUUUUUAUUCUGACUAGCGAGGAAAGGAUUCAUUUUUGUCAUGUAGAUUGAAUGUGAAAAGCAGAAUCCUCAGAAUUGUAUGAUUCCGAUACUUGACGAAAUGAACAGAUAAAAGAUCGGGAUAGCCGGGAUGACCUACUUUACGAUCAGAUGAUCCACCUAUUUUUCCGCUUGGGAGGGCUAACUCGGAUAGGUCAGAUACGAGGGAAACAACCCAUAAAAAGAAAGAUCAGAUGCCCUUUCUGAUGCAGUUCACGAUGCGGAGCUGCCAACUAGCUAUGCUAGGUAGUUUGUUAUUAGAAUAUCUAUCCUAGUAGGAAGAUGGAAAGAAUAUACUAUACACUCUAGGAGAGUCAAAGAAUAGGCAUGUUGGAACUAUAUCAAGAUUAGAAUGACAACUAAUAUCCGUAUCCGUAUAUAAUAAGUUGGGCUCUAUCCUUCCCGCCCACCUCAUUAAUAUCUGGAGGGAAGAAUCCGAGGGUAGCCUGAUGAUUAAGGGACAGGGACACUGUCAACAGGGUAUGGUUCUUUUUUAUCACCCCGGAUGACGCACACUGCUUUAAAUAAAGAAGAAUAUGAGGGUAGCCUGAUGAUUAAGGGACAGGGACACUGUCAACAGGGUAUGGUUCUUUUGUAUCACCCCAGAUGACGCACACUUCUUUACAUAAAGCACAGUGAAUAAUGCGCCAGACCGCCUAACCAGUUGAACCGUUCUCUUAUAGAACGGGUAAGACGUCAGGUCAAAGUACGCAUUUGAGGAUUGCCUCUCCUGACAGAUGUCUUCCUCCUCAUUUUCCAAUAACAAAUUCAAAUAGGCUUGACCCUUCUGCUUGUGUUAUUUGUGACUGCUGGACCCUCCGCAUAAUCUUUGAUUAUUGACUUCUCCGUAAUCGAACCUGCCAUCCACCCUUGUUGAUAACCUGUCCUUGUAACUUUCCUAUGAAUGGUCUCUCCACUAAGCUUUGAUGUACGCGCACUAGCUUCCUCGGCGACUAAUGCCCUUCUGCUGGUCUUUCGUCCAUUCCUUAUGGUCUUUGGUAAGUAGUCUAUAGUUCACUUUCGUCUAUGGCCUACCCCGAUCUCUUUUCAACUUAGUUAUUAGUACUUCGGAGUGGUGCAUACUCUCCUGCUUGGCUAUUGAAUGAAUCUUAUGCUUGUCAGGUCCACUCCUCUGUCUUCUCUUGCCUAUCGUCCACUUCGGUGACUCCAACCCCGGAAAGAUGAUCUCUUCCACUAACCUCUUCCCAUGAACUUCCGGAGUCCCUAUCUAAUAGUCACCCCCCUCCCUUACUGACUAAGGCUAAGGUGGUGUCAACCAAGGAGUCCCUAUCUAAUAGUCACCCCCUCCCUUACUGACUAAGGCUAAGUUGGUGUCAACCAAAGGGGCAAGAAGAUCUCACAUGAAUAGACGUUUGAAACUUCCCUCAGUACUUGAACUUUUGAUCAAUCGGAUUCAUAGUUAACCUUCUCAAACAGAUGAAGCCUACUUGACCUUCGUAUUCACUGCCCCCAUUCCUGAAUGAAGGAAACUAAUAGCUAGAAAAAGAGGCUAUUCCAUCGUUGGCAUAACAUGAACCGAGAAAUCAAACAAAAUAUGAAUGAAUAGGCAUGUGGGAACAACAUUGCUUGCAUUGAUUCAAUUGAUUUGAAGCAGUGGUUAUACUAUACAUACAUAGUUUUCACUAGGGGUUUUUACCGAAUCGUUACAAGCCCGUCAGAAGCAACCUCAGCAGAAAGCCACAAUUCCAGAGUCUCGUCCAUCGUCUGCUUAGUUGACUAUUUAAUAGCCUUUAGAUCUUCCUGUGAGUUAGGCCUAAUACUCUACUAUAUAGGAUAGGCUAGGCUCCUUCCUCUGUUCUUUUUAAUAUACACUAAACCGAAAGUCUUGGUUUCAAUGACUCCCCAAGCCAUGACCUAUUUGAUCCUUCAGAACCAGCUUCAGCAUUGAGUAAAGAAAAGAAGAAUUCACUAUAUUCCUAUGUUCUUUUUAAUAUACACUAAACCGAAAGUCUUGGUUUAAAUGACUCCCCAAGCCAUGACCUAUUUGAUCCUUCAGAACGAGCUUCAGCAUUGAGUAAAGAAAAGAAGAAUUCACUAUUAGAUCCUUCGGCCGUGUGGACAUCAAAAUCUUCACUUUCAUGAGCAGGGAUAUUUAGCUAUUUAGCCUUAGAGAAAGGCUGACUUGAGAGCCCUAGUCCCUUACUUUUAGAGAAGAAGGACAGCUCCGUUCGUGAUUCCCGGGUGGGGAUCACUUCACUCCAGCGCCUGUAGAGUCUUUUUUUAUAGAAGAAGGAUAGGUCCUUUCGUGAUUCCCGGGUGGGGAUCACUUCACUCCAGCGCCUGUAGAGUCAUCUUGCAUCUUUCCUUGAGAAUCAACUAAGCGCAAACAGAAGCAUCCAUGAGCGAGAACUAGAUUAGAUAGGAUGAAUAGGUGACCAGAGAAUGAGAUGGGAUACUUUACUGCCGAUCUCUUAUGAUGAAAAGUACUUCUUAUCCGCCCUAAAAACGUGCGAGAAUUGCAAUGCAAGCGGCGAAACUGCAGCAACAGCCCCUCUCCUUAGAGUCAAGUGGCUGAACGCCCCUCGAAUCUUGUCUUCGGUUGCAAACAACCUGCGCAAGGGCCUUUUUAUUCAUAGGAGAGAUUAGGGAGAUGAGGCAAGGAAGGGAUCAAGGAAAGUCCCGCCAAGAAUUUGAUGUUCGAUGAUUGAAUCUUUCGAAUCGUUCGCAAAAAGAAAAGCCGACCUUUUCUUUUGCACGCUUUUUUACAUUUCAGUUCAGAUACCUUGCUCGACUUGCGCCUUUGCACGCUCGACCGCUCCCCCAUCCCACCUGGCCCAUUCUAGCGGGGAAUAACCUCAAUCCCCAUUUGCACGCUUGACCGCUCCCCCAUCCCACUUGGCCCAUUCUAGUGGGGAAUAAGCUCAAUCCGUAGAAGCUGCAUCCUUAAGGGCUGAGUGACUAUGCCAGUGAUCAAGAUAUCAACCACAUAAAUAGGUAGUAAAAUGGUUAUGAACCCACGAUUACGAAAUGUAAUUGAUGCGUCGGACUUAGAAAAUCUUAGGUCAAACUAAAUGUUGAUCAGUGAAGACAAGAAAGCUUUUAAGUGUAGACGACUACUUGUACUUGAAAUUCCAUUCCUUUAUCCGGUGGGAGGGUUUAGAGCCAGUUAAGCCAAUAGCAUAUCUAGCAAAAGCUUCAGUAACACUAGCUACAUCAGUAGAUCAUAGUGGGAGGGUUUAGAGCCUGUUAAGCCAAUAUCAUAUCUAGCAAAAGCUUCAGUAACACUAGCUACAUCAGUAGAUCAUUUUUUUUUUUUAAAUGAACUGUGUAAUUGUAUUCAUGAUCAAACCAUAUACAGAAUCCUAUAUAAUAACUGGUUGGACAUCCAGUUAUAGACUAAUUACAUAAAUCUCCUAGCCAUAAGAAGUGAAUGCUCCUUGUUACCUUUACACUAAUCUAACAGUUUGAAUGAAGAUAAGCAAUUAAGGAAAACUGUCCAAUUGUUUAAGUCCCUGCUGCCACUUUCUAUUGCUUCUACCUUUGAUAUGGAUCAACAUUGCAAUCUCUUUAGCAGUUGCAUCCUCAUUGUAUGCCAUAUUCUGAAAUCUACUAUAGUUCCUUGCCUUCCAUAUUAGAGCUACAACAUGGAUAAAAGCUACAGCAGUUAUAGCUUUUUUCCAUGUGUUGCUACGAGCCAGUGUGCAGAUCCACUGCAGUUCCUCCUCCCAGCUAUGAAUGUGUCGAUGUAAUCCCAACCAGCAACAUAUACGAGCCCACAAUCUUUGUGUGAUACAGCAUUCAAAAAACAAAUGGUGGAAGGUCUCAUUCUGUUGUUUGCAGAACACACAUUCAUCAGGAAUUUGAAUUCCUAUUUUUUCCAAACGAUCCACAGUAUUUAACCUUUGUUGUGCUGCCAACCAUGCAGUAAUUUUAUGUCGAGGAAGUGUAUUUUGAACAAGCAUCAGGUUCCUCCAGCUUACUCUAGCAUAACUAGGCAUCAUGGCUACAUAAAGUUUGUGAAUUUGGAACUUACCUUUGUGGCAUACAGCAUCAAACCUUUCAGAUAAGGAUCCCACCAACUGAUUGGUUUCCAUUAUGCUAUCUUUACAUUGAAUAACUUUUCUGGUGACCCAGGCAGCUUGUUUAGGAGUAGUAGCUGCCUCAGUAUCCUUCUUCUUUAUGUAAUAGCAGUGCACCCAUUUCACCCAUAAACAAUCUUUCUUCCUUGCUAUAUCCCAAAGGAGCUUUGCUACUGCUGCUUUAUUCCACAGAAAGAGGUUCAUUAUAUUCAAUCCACCAGCAUUAAGAGGUGAGCACACUUUGUCCCAAGCCACCAAAGCUCUUUUAGACUUGCUUGUAGCCCCUGUCCAAAGAAAAGUUCUGCACAUUGUAUCAAUAACCUUAAUCACUUUCUUUGGGAGUAUGAACACCUGAGACCAAUACGAUUGAAUACCAAAAAUUACAGACUUGAUGAGUUGGACUCUCCCUGCAUAUGACAACAAUUUGGCAGACCAACAAUUGAUCCUUGCUGUGAUCUUCUCAAUUAGAGGCAUAUAUUGAUUAACUGAAAGUUUCUUUGAGUCCAAAGGAACUCCCAAAUAUCUGAAUGGCAAUACACCUGUACUGAAUCCCAUUUUAUUCAACAUUUCUUCUUUAAAUGAGUUAUCAACACCUGCUAAGUAUAAAGCACUCUUCCUUGGAUUAGCUUCCAUUCCUGUUGCCUUAGAGAACUUUGUAAAUGCCUGAUACAAAAGUUGAAUGGAGAUAGUAUCAGCCCUGCAAAACAUAAGUAAGUCAUCUGCAAAGCAUACAUGUGUGCAGUUCAACUUCCUACAUUUUGGAUGGAAGUUAAAGUUGCCAACCCUGUGUAACUGUCCCAGAAUCCUAUUUAGGUAUUCCAUUGCCAACACAAAUAGGUAUGGGGACAUUGGAUCCCCUUGCCUUAUUCCUCUCCUAGCUUUAAAUGGUUUUGUAAGCCCACCAUUUAUCACUAGAGAGUAGGAAACAGUUGUAAUACAAGCCAUGAUCCAACUUAAGAACUUAGCUGGAAAACCAUAAGCUGCUAAUAUCUGAUGAAGAAAAGACCACUCCAGAGAAUCAUAUGCUUUCCUCAGGUCUAUUUUCAUUACACAUCUAGGUGAAACACCCUUUCUUGAAUACCCUUUAAAGAUCUCAUGGCUGAACAAUAUAUUGUCCAAGAGAAUAGACGUAUAGCAACUCUCUCUCAUAACAGAAUGAAAGCUAGCAAGAACGAAAGGAGCGCUUACCCAAUCGACCGAAGCUACUAUCCUAAAAUAAGAAAAUCCUAAAUUAAAGAACUACAGGAAAGGUAAUAUACUGAGCUAGCCUCCCGUUAUGCACCAAUGCUUGAACAGGACCGUUAACCUUUACCAAAAGAAAGAAGAGCUAUUGGUCAGUUUCCUAUAGUUGACCGAUACAGCUCGACUGAUUGAGACAGGGGAGAUGCGAGUGAUGGAAGAGAUCUAAUUUCAAGAAGUCAUUUGUGGACUGAUUCCGACCCUUUACAGAAGACAAGAGAUUCGCGAUAUGCCUUUAGAAAAGGUAUUCACUUUACGGAUAUCGUUUAACGAAUUGCCUGAUUUCCGAUCCACUGCACCUACCAAUGAUGCCUUCACUUUCAGAAAGUUCCUCGCGCAUGAAAGGACUUCACUUAGAAAGUCAAGAUAAGAAAGGAUAAAGGAUGGUGUACGAUCAGGGAAUGCCUUUUUUGUUAAAGAGAAUUGGCCGUAGAGAGAGCUCCUAUCUCUCAUAAGAGAAGGAGAGCCACUUUUUUUGAUAGUAUAUUAAUGAGUAGGACUUAAAUUCCAAGCGCUCCUAGCUCAGAAACCACACACAGACAAAGACAUGGAGGCCCAUAAAACUCAUAAAUAAUAGACUAAGAAAUAUACGUGACAUACACUUCCUGUGUGAAGUUUUCAUCUUAAUGAAUCAAAGCAGUUUGUAAAAUGCUACUUUUCUUUCUGCAACAAGUAAGACUACUUUUUCUUAUCAUACACCCUUAUGAAUGAAAGAAAUAUACGUGACAUACACUUCCUGCGUGAAGUUUUCAUCUUAAUGAAUCAAAGCAGUUUGUAAAAUGCUACUUUUCUUUCUGCAAAAAGUAAGACUACUUUUUCUUAUCAUACACCCUUAUGAAUGAAUGAAUCUCAAAAAUGAGACUCCUAAACUAGUCCCCCUCCUCUCUUUCUUCAAAGACAGAGGUACACAUCACAGGAAAAAAACCCACAAAGACAUGGAGGCCCAUAAAACUCAUAAAUAAUAGACAAAGAAAUAUACGUGACAUACACUUCCUGCGUGAAGUUUUCAUCUUAAUGAAUCAAAGCAGUUUGUAAAAUGCUACUUUUCUUUCUGCAAAAAGUAAGACUACUUUUUCUUAUCAUACACCCUUAUGAAUGAAUGAAUCUCAAAAAUGAGACUCCUAAACUAGUCCCCCCACCCUCUCUUUCUUCAAAGACAGAGGUACACAUCAUAGGAAAAAAACCCAAAACAGAAAGAGAAAGAAGUAAGUCAAAAAAUAGGAAAUACUGCUAGAUGGCUAGCAGAUUAGCAGCAAAGUACGCUUUUACUUCCUUUUGGCACAACAAAACAAGGUAGUAAUACGGGAGAAAGUGGUCCAGUAAUCUUCUCCAGCAGGGUGGCCAUAGUGAGAUAGAGUGGUGAAACUGGGUUCCGAAUAAAAACAGAGCGAGGAGGGAAGGCAAAGGCUAUGACAUUGGAAUCCGCUUCAAGGUAAGCCCCACUCCACUGAAUUGGAGAAUUCCAGAACACGUAUCAGAGAGUGCUCCAAUGAACAGAGCGAGGAGGGAAGUCAAAAGCUAUGACAUUUGAAUCCACUUCAAGGUUCAACUUCCCGAAGCAUUUCAUCGAUUACUAUGCCCUUCCUUCUCUCUGGGUGCCUAGGUAUCCACCUUAAGCCUUUCCACCUUUGAACCUCGUCCUCUCGUCACACUUGCCGACAACCCGCUUUCUAUCCCCCGAGCACUCAGUGGAAGAAUAGGAAUCAAGUCAUGCAGUCGGAAAUCCAAUCCUUGGUCCCGCAGUCAGUCCUUGGGGUUGAUAUCCAGGUUCUAAUUCUGCUUCAUCUGAUAAUAGAAGUACCUCCGUAAGGACUCCAUGUCAACAUUAAUUUGCAUUUGAUGGCUAUUUUACUUGAACCUUUUCAUUGACGCCAUCCGCUUGUAGACAGACAGAAAGCAGAAAGAGAGCCCGAGGUGCUGACCCGCAGCGAGGUAGGCCGGUCUAUCCCCAUCGGGAUGAUAAGGAGUUGUCCUUCCUUGAAUUAAGACUUGAAUGAAGCCGAAGCCUCGGGGAAAUCUCAAUGAAAUAAGUGUCGGUUCACUCUUCACCAUAGUAGUGUCGCAUAAAAAGCGGCUCCUUCCCUUCGCUAUAAGCUGAGUUCCCAAGUUGGGGAGUACAGGUCCCAGGUCUUUCCUUUCCUCUAUGGCAGGAAGUCCCUCCAGCUUGUCUGGUUAACCGGGCUACCUAUUCAAAGAUGAACUGAGUUGGGGAGUACAAGUCCCAGGUCUUUCCUUUCCUCUAUGGUAGGAAGUCCCUCUAGCUUGUGUGAUUAACCGGGCUACCAAUUCAAAGAUGAACUAAUUGCCUUUGCUUUCUUCUAAUGGCAGGCCUGUGUCUCCUCUAUUCCUGCUUUCCGGGGUACCUCUUCAUCUAUUAUCUAACGAUUCUAUUGAUUUCUUCUCAGUGUAAAACAAAGGUUUGGAACCCUAGGACUCUUUCUCGUGACCUAGGUUCAGUCAAAUAAAUAAAUGGAUCGCCCUUUCCUGUCCUGGAAGUUGAUCACCGUUGCCCAAAACCAACAAAGUUUCUAAUUGUCAAGUAAAUGGCCGGACCUCCUUCCGGGAACUCCGAUUAACUUAUCUUAUUUAGCCUCUCUCCUAGGGUUUGUUUUCUCAUCUGAUCCUAAAUCAUUCAACAACCAGAGUGUUGUAGCUCUCUUGUUCUUGGCUGCUAGACGAGGAGCCGGGUAGAGAGAUAAUAGAUCCUCCCCCUAGGAUGGUAGCUUCUUAUCCAUGAUUGCCCCGCAAGUUAAUAAGGGAUUCUAAUGCUUCUUGAAGCAAAAUAAGGGCAUAAACCACUAUAUAGAGUCUUGAGUGCCUUCCCUUCGGAAACCAACUAAGGCAACUCCGAUUGAAUGCGAAAUCCCGCUAGCCAUUAUUCGUAUGAACUCCUAGAUCCAUGAAGGACAUGGGCAUCUGUAAGCCAGUGUAGCUAAGCGGAGAGCGAAAAGAAGGAAUCAGAAAAUCAAUGCAUUCCUUUUCAAACUUAUCGGUCUGAUGAUAUCGUAAUCUAAGCAAAGAAGAUUUAAUAAGAAAACAAAAUUUCCUUUUUCGGGUAAAGGUUUAAUUCCACGUGGUCCAGUGGAUGGAUUAAGCUAUUGAUCAUAUCAUAGGUCAAGGACGGAACGAAGAACCAACGUUUUUCUUCCUCCUCUGUUCUCUACUAAGAUUGUAAUAGAUUCGUGCUUUCUCUUCCCCGAGGGAACGGAACUAGCACUAUAAUUCCGAGUCACCUAUCCAGUAUGUGAGUGAGCCCGCCCUACGGAUCCCCUUUGUUCAAUUCGAGGGAACGAAACUAGCACUAUAAUUUAGAGUCACCUAUCUAGUAUGUGACAGAGCCCGCCCUACAGAUCCCCUUUGUUCAGUGGGGGAGGGGUCAUACCUUCCCCGCCCGCUUAGUUUCAUAAGUCUAAUUGAUUUGGGGCACAGAAUCUGCCUUUGAUGUGAAAUUUGUUAAUUUUCAUUCUCAGCUUUCUCAUCACAUGAAUGAGACAUAACUUCCUAUCAUAAGAAAGGUGAACUAGAAAUCAGAUUUUGAUUGGUUUGAGGAUUUCGACCUUGAACUAGAAUAGGAUCUGUUUUCUUUGGACAGGAAGGAAAGAGAGAUCGGGAUGAUGGAGACUUGAAGAAGUAUAGUAUUAAUCAAAUAGAAGGCUCGUUCGUAGAUCUGCAUAAAGCUAUUAAUCCAAUCCGAUCCAACAUGAGUAACCGAGUUCUUCUUCGUUUGGUUGGCACGAGAAUCCCUCUCACAGGGGAAGAAUCUGAUUCGAUCUCUGGGCUUAUAUCCAACCUAUGAACAAUGGUCUCUCUCGUCUAGUUGGUCUCCUUCUUGGCCUCAAGAGUCGUCAGUACUGAAAUGGCCCUGGCAUUACCUUCGUGAAAUCUAGGAGGAUAGCUCGCCGAUCCUAUGGUGGACGUCGGUUGGUUUGUCGACGAUUACGACCAUUCAAAGGCAUUUUUCCAUUAGCUGGAGUAGGUAGGGGGCUGACGUCGAUAUGUUAUUAUACAUAAAAGAUAAUUAAGGCAAUAGGAAUCUGGGUGAUCACGCGCUUCACAUGGUAUUUAUUAGGAUUAGGACAGAGAAAAAUAUCGCUUAUUUCAGACGGCCCGGACAAUUACUUUUAUCGUCAAUAGAGAGAGUCGCUCGACAAAGGAAGUCGGCUUUGGGAAAAAAUCAUUCCUUUACCGGGCGCUAGUCAAAGUAGUUAAAAAAGGCAACUGGGCAAGUAGCGAGCAGGAGCAGUGUUGGGCUUUGUGGUCGUUAACGGAACAAAUGAAGAGGAGCACAGCACCGUAUGCACUUGAUUGGCUAAUCAAUGUCAAAGCGGCCAGCUUCUUUUCAAUGGGUCACCAAUAGAACCGUCGGUUCUUCGGAAUCUAAAAUCGGGACCACCUUUAAAGUUACCCGGUAUGGUUCCAAAUCAGCGGUUCAUUCAACACUGCUACAACCUCCGCACGCAUUCCUCGACAGGCUGAAGUGCUUCUUCAGUUUGUUAUGGGUUCCAACCCAUGGACUUGGUAGCAGACGGUUCAGACGAUGGUUGUGUCCUGAACCCAGUCAGCGACACAUGUCCUAUCUCCUAGAGAAGCGGCUGAACAGCUGCGAGCCGCUAGUUUCCUGGAGAACGGCGAGAGAGGCUAGGCGAGACUUAAAGGCUGUAGCGAACAACCAUCUGGUAAAAGGUUUAUCCGUAAAGCAAAAACCCGAAGGUUAGCCUUGCAUAAACUAGGGAAAGAUAGAACUCAACUUCACACUGGUUAGCAAAACCCUAGAGCUUCCCUGCUUUGGUAGAACCUUCUACUUUACCAAGUCAAGAGAUUAAGGUGGUAUACCACGUCGAUUGACUUUGCGUUCCGCCAUCACAUAUUCCACUUCCUUCGACAAGGAAGUCGUCAUCCUUUUCGGUGGCCUCUUGGGAACGCCUCUUGUAGGGUCUUCCAUGUCUGGAUGGUAUGUCUUUGGACACCCCACAUGGAAGACAGGGUGGAUCUUUAGCUUGGAAUGAAGCUGAAGUUUAUAGGCAACUUGUCCUACUUUCUCUAUGAUGGGCAAUGUCCCCUCAUACUUGCGGCUGACACCCUUCCUAAAAUAGAAGGAAAGAUUUUUUGCAAUAGUGGAUUUUUUUUCUCAUCCUUUCGCUUGGAAAUUCAGUUUCAUGAUUGAGUUUCCCCUUUCUUCUACAGAUGCUAGUAGUCCAGCCCUCAUAGGAAAUUGCCUAUGAGAUCGCAUUCCAUCGGUUUUUUAAGAUUGGAGGGCUCCCUCUAGUGCUAAAUAAAAAAGAUCUUUGAGCAAGGGCUAGCUUUUCAACAGGCGAAGAAAGGCCUCACCAAACACUUCAUGCCCAAAGGAAGAAGCAAAUGAGCAAUCGAGCCACGAGGAAACGAAUAGUGAUGCAAGUCUUCAUCAAAGCUCACACGCUAAGUUUGGAACCCUUACCCUUUCCUGCGAAAACCAAAGCAUCAAAGACAUCGGCCACCUAGUAAAAAACCGACAGUCGAUGAAGAAAAAUGCUUCAAUUAUGGACAUCCCAGUGGGCCCCCUCACAUCAGGUUUUCGAGAAAGAAGAAAUAAGAAUCCGACAGUCGAUAAAGAAAAAUCAUCAACUAUGGACAUCCCUGUGGGCCUCCUCACAUCAGGUUUUCGAGAAAGAAGAAAUAAGAAUUGCUUUUAACUUCCUAUCGGCCCUCUUCUCUGUUCUAGGUCCUUUCCUCACUGAGGACCAUGGGCCAAUAACUUCAGAUACAAAGCAUGAUUUUUCCAAGACGUACUGUUCUAGGUCCUUUCCUAACUGAGGACCAUGGGCCAAUAACUUCUGAUACAAAGCAUGAUUUUUCCAAGAUGUGCAAGGCGCCCCCCAGCCUUCCAAUGGGAAAGCUUCAACAUAAAAGUUAAUUUCUGUUCUUCCUGUUCCCACGGCAGACGUAUGCUCGGUUGAAGCUGGAUUUAGAAAGGAUUAGCAGCGGUGCAUAUAUGAUAUUUUAAGUACAAGAAAUAUUGGACUAGACUAUUCCUUAUAUAGAUGUAGUGGAUAAGAUCUUUGUGUUGGGAUAGGCGUUCGGAUUUCCACAGCUAUUUUAAGAGCGUGCUGAAUCCAACCGUUGCACGUUCCCCCUUUGGCUAAACCACCACUUCAGGCUAACCCUUUUGCCUGGCUGGCACUUACUCAAGUUAGAGUUUUGCGCUCUCUCAAAACGCCUGCACGCCUGCGAGUGUUCUCCCCGGUCCUACAAAUUGAGCUUCCGAAAGGGAGCACUUACUCAAGUUAGAGUUUUGCGCUAUAUCAAAACGCCUGCAGGCCUGCGAGUGUUCUCCCCGGUCAUACAAAUUGAGCUUCCGAAUGGGGUGCUUGCUAGAGCAGCUCAACGAGAUGUGGGUUCAAUUCUCGCUAUGCCUCAUCCUAAUUGGUGUCUGCGCCAUUGGGCCAGCUAAACUUGCUCUGAUCUAGUGUGCGUCCGCUCCUGUUCAGGCUCACUCAGCAGAAAGCUAACUCUCUUCUCCUGCUUUAGCUUGAGCCCACCCGGACAGAGAGAGGAUUCCAGCUCCAUCUUGAUGAGCAGCACCAUCAAAGUACAUCUUCUAUGGUGGAACAUUUUCGACCACAAGCACAUCUUCAUCAUCGGACAGACUCUGGCAUGACACCCAUCACGAUACAUAGGUAAUAUGAUUUUGUUUUCAGGGGAGGAUCCACUAAAUGGACCAACGGAGCAGUGUCAGUCGAUAGACCUUGUUCCGAGAUCUAUUUUUAACAAAAAGAGUUGGAUUCGCCAGCCUUAGCCGAAGAAGACUGUUCGUAUAGUAGUAGGUUCUAGAACCUGUUCAAACCAUCUCAUAGGUCGUCCAUAGUACAAAAUGUCAAUUCAAUUGCUAUACUAAGCUUUCUUUUACGCCCGGGAAUGAAGCAUUAUUCAAAGACAGUAGGCAAGGCACUAUAAGGAAGUGAAGUAGGGUCGGCAGAUAUAGGCUUCUCUUCUAUUGAAUAAGUGGACUCCCCCCUUUGACUUGAGCAUUGAAUUGACUCUUCUUCGAUAGCUUUCAAGCGCUGAACCCGAUCCAAUUCGUUUCGUAGUCGUAGCUUAUUGGCCUGAGAUUCUCCAUUGAGUGGUUCGUACUUACGACUUGGAUUAUCUGUUUCGUGGCUCACAAGAAAUCGUUCUAUCUCUUUCAAGCGCUGAACCCGAUCUGAUUCGUUUCGUAGUCGUAGCUUAUUGGCCUGAGAUUCUCCGUUGAGUGGUUCGUACAUACGACUUGGUUAACAUUCAUAAUAUGUGUAAGGGCUCGAAUGGCGUGAGCCGCAUGCGGGAGAACCGCACGUACGGUUUGUAGGGGGAUGUGGUCGAAAAACCGAUCGGCGCCCACCCGACUAGAGGGACUGAGAAAUUAAUUGAGUACAAAACUUAUCUUCAACGCACAGCUUUUUGGUUGAUAUUCAUGUAGAAACCACAAAACAAAGUUGUUGCUUAACUUCUUGUGAAGCAACCUAGCUGUCGGCUACAGAGGCGACAACCUCGACAAAGAGGCAAGCUUUGCUCUGAUACCAUGUAAUCAGAGAGAAUAACUUGUUGUAUUUCUAUUAAUGAAUACAUGAGAUUUAUACACUUAUACAAGACUCUGUCAAACGAAACAAAAUAAAAAAAAAUAAAGGAAAAUAUCUUUAGGAUCAGCUUCUAUAAUUGAAUCACCAAUCUUUGCAAAGUAAUCUAUUUAUAUCUCACUAAUUUUUUUGUAAUAAAUGCUAGUAAAACAUAAUAGUAUAGUACAUUAGGCGGCACUUUCUUCAUUAAAACCGUAGAGGUGCACAUGGACUUGGUUGGUUCAGAAUUUAUCAAAUUCAAAUCAAACCAAUUAUAUCGGUUUGGAUUGGUUCGGUUUGAUUGGGGUUUUUGGAUUUUUUUUGUUACAUGAACUUUAUUUUAAUCUUACUUUUUGAAGAUUAUCCAUAAAAUUUGAUAAGUGAAUAUAUGUUUACUAAAAUUUAAAAAAUUGACAAACAUAUGAUCUAUUAAAAUAUUCUUAUUAGAGAAUAUUUCAGUAACACAUGAUAGUUAUUUUCUUAGUCAUCUAAUAACAAUUUUUUGUUGAUUUAUGCUUUCAAGGCUAUCCGAAUUUAAUAAGUAGAUAUACAAAUCAAUAUGACACCUAAGUAACGAUAUAUUCUAUUUAUUUUUAGAAAUUUAUCAAAAUACCACUUUAAAUCUAAAAAACAUAUAAGAAACAUUGAUAUAUGAAUAUGGAAUAACAAAAAGAAAAUUGACCCAUUUCAAUAAUACAUUAUAAGAAAGCGAUAUGUUUCAUUAUUUAAAAUAAAUAAAAAUAAAUGCACUUCAUAGUUUUAUUAAAUAUUUCAUCUCAUUUCAUUAGAGGAUCCAAAAUAUGUUUAGAUAUCUUUUUAAAGAAAAUUCAAUACAAAGCCUUAAAAGUUUAUAUAAAUUUUUUUUAUAUAUGUAGGUUUGGUUCAGGUAAUUUUACUCAAUACAAAACCUACUUGGGGUUUUAAAUCGGAUUGGUUUGACAUUACAAUUUGAUGCGGUUUUAUGUUCGUUUGAAGUCCCCCAGCAGCAAGACUCUCUAUUAGUCGGGGCCCAAAGCAGGUCUUAAUAUGGAAUGACAAACAAGAAAAAGAGAAACCUAUUAUAUAUUGGCACUCUUUUCGUCCCAAUUUACGUGAUGGCAUUCUACUUUCGAGAAUCAAAUAAAUUAUUGUUUGACCAUAAGUUUUUCAUAUGUUUUUCAAUAGCAUAACAAAACCAACACACAUAAAAACAACAUAGGCAAGAAAAUGAAUACGAUAAGUUUUCGCAGGGUUCUAUAUAUAAUUUUAACAAUACACGUGUGGUCAUCAUCAUCAUCAUCAUUAUAAUAUCGUACCCCGCCUCAAAGAAGACUCGAUAAAAAGGUACUUGGCCACCAUAUGGCUCGGUCGAAUCGUACCCAGCCACGUGGAGCUCGACAAAACCCAACUGAUCAGUGGUUGUAUAAUAUGUGCCGGACCUUGCUGACUAUAGUGCGGCUUGGUAGAGUAAAAUAGAUAAAUAUAUAUAAUGCAUGUAGGACUAAUUGGAAUCAUAUUCUGAACCUUUUAGAGGGACAUAAGGUCAAUAUUCUCCGUACACGUUAUUAGGAAUAAUCCUUCAUCAAGAAUCUUAUAAGAACCAGGAAGUACCAAAAACAUCGAUAACAUAAGAAUAAGAAUAAGAGAAGAAACCUCAACAUCCGUUGUUCCAUAAGAAAGGAAACAAUGUAAGUACUGCUAGCUUCAUUGGAUUAUGUACAAUCGAGGUCAUGCAAAAGAAGGAAAAGUAAAGCCUCACAUACAUUGUAUAUACUGCCAAUCCUCAGGCUAUUCCAAUGUCAUGACUCAUUAGCUUACAAUAGGAUAAAUGACACUAUCGGUAAUGCUUAAGCGUCAUAACUAUUAUGUACCGACCACAACCUAUUUUAUGAAUGCCAAUCCUCAAACUAUGCAAAUGUCAUGACUCCUUAGUUUACAACAGGAGAAAUGACACUAUCGGUAAUGUUUAAGCGUCAUAACUAUUACGUACCGACCACAACCUAUUUUAUGAUGAAAUAGAUAUAAGCGGUCAAGUUACAACUCAUACAAGCAUAGAUAAUGGAAGGAGAAGCACAAACUUACCUUGGACUGAGUAGAACCACGAAACCUAGUCCUUCUCCAUCAAAAAACCAGUCCCCCAACACAACUAGAUUAUGGAGAAAGAGAAACUAGCUAGUUGCAGGGGUACAAUUUAAUUCUCAUGGUUUGAAAGAUGAGAGAAUUAUAUGAGUUUAUAAGCCCUUAAAUUUCCCCCUUUUUCCGACUUUGGGAUUUUUAAUUUUGUCCACUCCUUUUGGCAAGUAGGUGAUGCACCUACCUGUCACCUACUAAUCUAUGCAGGCUAGUAAAAAUAUAAUAAUCUAUUUACUCAGACACUGUAUAGAUGAACGGUUAAAUGCACUGAAAACUAGGUUGUUUUUUCCAGAACACAGUCCGAGAUAACCGUAACCGUGUAUAUAUAGAAAUAUAUCUUCGAUGCUGUCAUUUCGAAAUGUCCGCUUCAACCGCUGUUUCACCUCCCAAAGAGCAAAGUUGGCUUGAUGAGCGCAGAUGAGGAAGCGGGAGCAAGAAAACCAAUAAUCUCUUUCUU
rnacentral:lncRNA from 1 species